rnacentral:lncRNA from 1 species
CGCAACCCUAGGGCUCCCGUUUUCCCCUUCUCCUCCCUCUCGCGCCGUCAGGGAAGGGCCUCCGACGCGGACGCCAUGGGAGGUCCUCAGUGAGCUCGAGCAGCAGCAGUUCGCGGACUCCUCCGCUCCUUCGAUAGCACUAGGUGGACGCGGUGGCCGAGGAGAUCCCGUUCCCAUAGCAACCUGAUGGCUUCUUCCUCGACGUCCACGUUGUCUUCUUCCUCCCCUGCUGUCGGCGAACUCCUCUGCUUCGGAUCGACGCCCUCCUUCCUCUCCUGCACCGGUUCAUCAUCUAGGUUCUAGGUGAGCGUUCCCCGCUUCUUCCCCCUCUCUGGUAGCACGAGUAGGUGAACAAAGCGACGACUGUCCAGAGUAGUGCGUAGGAGCUCGAGCAGCAGCACCACCGUAGCUAGGUGGUCGUAGAUCCGGCGUAGCAGUGCUUCUAUCGGAGAGAUUAGGCCGGGAAUGGAAUCCAUGUGGUUCCUACUUCCCCCCCCNNNNNNNNNNNNNNNNNNNNNNNNNNNNNNNNNNNNNNNNNNNNNNNNNNNNNNNNNNNNNNNNNNNNNNNNNNNNNNNNNNNNNNNNNNNNNNNNNNNNCUGAACACCUACUUACGUCAAACAUAACCCCACCAUGUUCCCCAUCGAAGAGAGGUCUUCGAAGGAGACAGUCACGGUUACGCACACAGUUGGCAGUUUUAUUAGAGUUAGUUCAAGUUAUCAGGACCGGAUGUUAACAAAUUAUCCAUGCUUGCCACAUAACCGCAGGCACGACUUUCCGAAAGAUUAAACCCUGCAGGGGUGCUCCAACUAGUCCAUCAAAACGGUCACGAGCCGCAAAGUAAUCCUCUAUCACGAAUCUCGUGAUCUCGUCGGAUUCCUUAGAGGAAAACCUCAACUUUGAGGAGACCCAAAGUUUCAUCGGGAUUCCUAUACGCAAGAUAUAUCGCUAAGGUAAGACAAAUCUAGCAGGACCUCCCGACGUNNNNNNNNNNGGGAGACCGAAAGUUUCACCUGGAUUCCUAUACCCAAGAUAUAUCGCUAAGGUAAGACAAAUCUAGCAGGACCUCCCGACGUGUCGACGACCCCGAUAAGAGCCGCGUAUCUCAGUCUCAGGACACGCCGGAUAAGCGAAGCGUACGGUGGCCUGAUAGAAAUCUCCUGAGUUGCCCCGGGUUGGCCCCGCACGGUGCUCUGGUUUGGACCAACACUCAUGAGGAGCACUGGCCCGGGUUGUUGAUUAAAUCCUCGGGGUAGCUAUUCCCUAUGCAAAUUAUUAUUAGGUGAUUAGCAAAUUAAAACCAAUGUUGGGUCCUACCGGACAAGCCUUAACACUACACGAUUUAUCAAGGGGGACCCCAUAACAACCCCGAACGUGUUAGGAGCGAUCAGUUAUGGAAUCAANNNNNNNNNNAAUAAGAGCCGCGUAUCUCAGUCUCAGGACAUGCCGGAUAAGCGAAGCGUACGGUGGCCUGAUAGAAAUCUCCUCAGUUGCCCCGGGUUGGCCCCGCACGAUGCUCUGGUUUGGACCAACACUCAUGAGGAGCAUUGGCCCGGGUUGUUGAAUAAAUCCUCGGGGUAACUAUUCCCUAUGCAAAUUAUUAGUAGGUGAUUAUAAAAUUAAAACCAAUGUUGGGUCCUGCCGGACAAGCCUUAACACUACACGAUUUAUCAAGGGGGUCCCCAUAACAACCCCGAACGUGUUAGGAGCGAUCAGUUAUGGAAUCAAACACCGGUAGCCGAAACUAAGGUGGCAACAACGGAACAAGUCACCUGGCAAAAGGCUAGGCCUUCCGUCAUUUACCAAGUAUAUAGGUGCAUUAAUUAAAUAGAAGAUUAAUCAUAAUGAUAUCAAAAUACUCAUGUUAUCACAUGAGACAGCUGGCACCUGCAACUAACAAAACUAAUCAUUAGAAGUUGAGCAAGCCUACUUAGCCAAACAUUAGCUAGGAGGGGAAGGUGUUUUGGGUUUCAUGGCAUUAACAAGAGGCAUUUUAACAAGUGGUAGGCAGUGAGCAUAUAUCGAAGGAAACGUGAUUCUAAGCAUAACAAAGCUAGAUAUGGUAUCAAGGUCACGGUCAUCUUGCGUGUGAUGUCUUUAGCUUGGAACUGCUCUUGAUCGUCCUGCACGUACUCUCCAGAAUCCACGUACUCGCUCUCUGAUCCCGGUGCUACCCAAGAUAAAAAAACAGCCAAUGUACUCCAACACAACAUGAUGCAACAAAUAAUGUGAUGCAUGAGAUGAGAAGGAAGCAUGCCUCACUAUUCUAGUCACUUGCAUAUACAUGAGAUGAGAAGAUAAACUUCUGGACAGAACUUCACACUAAGCUAUCUUGACAUGCAUGAGGAUGGCAUGAAGAGGUGCAUCACGAGAAAACGAUGCAAAAACAUAUAAAGAACGUUGAGAACGGAGCUACGGAUCAACCGGAAACUACGAAACAAGAUAUGGAGUCCUACGGGUGAAAUCAAACACAAGAACACUCCAAUGGCACUCUUCUGGUGUUCCCAGGUUGCCACAUGAUCAAACAAACAAAUAUAAGUGGAGUGGUGCAAAGAAACUCACCACACCACCAACAAUACUCACACAAGCUUCAAAACAACUAAAACAUGCAAUCUGACCUAAACAACAUCAUAGCAGUUUGCCUACAACAUUCAAAGUACCUACAGCCACCUAAAUGAGCCAAACAAGAUAUGUGGCAAAAGACAUUCAAAAGCUCUACAAGCCUGAGCAAUAAGCUACUGAAAAGGCAUCACACGUAAGAAGAUCUAUGGACACAAACUUGGACAAAAAUAAUAGAUUUCUCGGACUUAGUGAAAAUCUCAGAUUUUCACUAGCUGCUUAUGCUCUGAAGCAUUUUGGCAGCCUCCAAAAUGAUAUCUACAGGAAGUGAAAGUGCAUGAAAUUUAACGGAGGGCUAGACAAACCCAAAAUCUCACAAACCUUAGUUUGUUGCAUGGGUUGAUUCCCAAUACAUGAGCUUGUGCAACCACAUCAACAAGGGAAGAAAAUAACAGCAGUUUCUCAGAUUUUCACAAAGCUGACAAUUUCAGCCAAGUGUCAACUUUGACAANNNNNNNNNNNNNNNNNNNNNNNNNNNNNNNNNNNNNNNNNNNNNNNNNNNNNNNNNNNNNNNNNNNNNNNNNNNNNNNNNNNNNNNNNNNNNNNNNNNNGGCAUAAGAACCUUGGUUUGCUCAUGAAUAUUAUAUACUUAGCUUGUUUUCCUCUAAAAUGACAUAAUUAGCCCAUUUAGCUCCAAAAUGGCCUAUUUAAUAAAACAAUGACCUAUACUUACCUAAGUUCUCUUCUAAAUGACAUAAUAAGGCUAUGUAGCUCCAAGAUGACCUAUUCCACCUAACUUAGCUAUUAAAUGGCCUAUAAUUAGCUUAGCUAGCUCGCAAAUGGCUUAAUAAUCAUAGUUGGCUCCAAAAUGACAUAUUUUACCCAAGUUAGCUCUAGAAUGGCCUAUACUUUGCUUGGCUUCCACCUAAAUGACAUAAUUAGCUUAAUUAGCUCCAAAAUGGCCUAUUUAAUAAAAAAUGACCAAUACUUACCUAAGUUCUCUUCUAAAUGACAUAAUAAGGCUAUGUAGCUCCAAUAUGACCUAUUGCACCUAACUUAGCUAUUAAAGGCGUGUUCAGAGUCCCUCCACUCCACCACUCCGCUCCAGGAGCGGGUGGAGCUGAAGUUCAAAACUGUGGAGCGGGUCAAUAGACACUCCGUGGAUCCUUGAAUUCGAGGGAGCCGGUUGAUUGCCGAACAACCCCUAAAUGGCCUAUAAUUAGCUUAGCUAGCUCCAAAAUGGCUUACUAAUCAUAGUUGGCUCCAAAAUGACAUAUUUUAUCCAAGUUAGCUCUAGAAUGGCCUAUACUUAGCUAAGUUCUCUCCUAAAUGACAUAAUAAGUCUAUGUAGCUCCAAGAUGACCUAUUCCACCUAACUUAGAUAUUAAAUGGCCUAUAAUUAGCUUAGCUAGCUCCAAAAUGGAUUAAUAAGCAUAGUUGGCUCCAAAAUGACAUAUUUUUUCCCAAGUAGCUCCAAAAUGACAUAUACUUAGCUAAGUUCUCUCCUAAUGACAUAAUAAGGCUAUGCAGCUCCAAGAUGACUUAUUCCCCCUAACUUAGCUAAGUUCUCUCUGAAAUGACCUAUACUUUUCUUCUUCAUCUAGUCUUCUUCUUCUAACUUUUUAUUUGCCAUUUUGUAGAUUACAUUCACUUCACGGGAAGCUUGGAUUAUAUUGAUGGAGUGCUUGAAUAUGGUUGAUUCUACCAUGGCUUCACGGAAGCUUGGAUUGAAACUAUUGUAGUAUAUGGAUAUAUAUGUAACUUUGAAUGCAUGGAUGAAACUAUUGUAAUAUAUGGUUUGGUACGGAUGCAACUUGCAUAAUAUGUAUGUAUUAUGGAUGAAAGUUAUUUUAAUAUGGUUAUGAGUAUGGAAACAAAAUUAUUUCUGUCAAAUAUAUAUAUAUCCUGAUUAUUGUGAAAAUUAUUCCUGAUUUGUGUGAAAAUUGCUGGAUAUUAUAGAAAAUAAAAUAAACAGGGUUUGUUUUGAGCCUUUGUCGUCCGCCCACCAAUGGCAAAGGGCAUGCAGCAGAGGGAAAAGGCUCAAACAUGCGUGGGAUGAAACAUGCUGGGGUGCCCCUUUGCCGUUGGCCUGAGACAUGGCUGACGACAAAAGAGGAGGGCAGACGACAAAGGUGAGGGAGAGAGGGGCUGGGUGCCCCCCUUUGCCGUCGGCCUCAAACAUGGCUGACGACAAAGGGGGGGGGGUAGGGAAGACGACAAAGGUGGGGUAGGGCAGAUGACAAAGGGGGGGUAGGCCUAGCAGGCUGCCGUUAGCACUUAACGGGAGCGAUUGCGAAUCUGCCAUCCCAUUUUGUUUGCCAUUAGCCCCACCAUGGCAAAGAUUCUUUGUAGUCCGCCUUCCAAAGGCACACGACAAAGAACCUCUUUGCCGGAUAAAUCUUUGCCGUCUAGUUUGCCGUCCGGGGCGCCCCCCUUUGCCGUCUGCCCUGCCGGACGACAAAGUUUCUAAUCCCUGUAGUGCACAUAGCUACUGUAGAAGAUCUCAGCCCCGAGGAGGAACUACUCCCGCUUCAUGGAGGGAGGAAGCAACAUCGACGGAGAUGAAUCCCGGGGCACUUCCCUGUCCCGGCAGGGUGCCGGCACAGGAAUUCUGGUCCCCCGAAACUUGUUGACGAUGGCGGCGGAUAUUGGAAUUGCUUUUGGCGAAAAGGGUUCCAGAAUCAGCAUUUCCUCCACGGGGGUAAAAGUAGGAGCCGAGGUAGGGUUCCAGAGGAGGUGGGCCCCACCCAAGCGGCCUGUGGGCGCGACCAGGGGGUAGGCCGUGCAGGGAGGCCGCCUGGGCGACGCCUGGCUCCCCUCUAGCGAACCUUUGGUGCUCUCGAAGCUUCUGUCACGCUGAUUUUUAUAUAUUUUUCUUGGGAUUUUUGGGACUCGGUAAAUUGGGGUAAAAGUCCGUGCAAAAAAAGACAUCAGCAGACAAAAACUAGCACUAGGUGCACUGAGUUACUAGGUUUGUCCAAAUAUGUGUCAAAAGGUAUGAAAGUGUACAAAACACAUAGCAAUAUCACCCAAAACUUGCAUGGAGCAAGCAGAAAUUAUAGAUACGCUUGGGACGUAUCAACAUCCCCAAGCUUAAUUCCUACUCGUCCUCGAGUAGGUAAAUGAUAACAAGCAUAAUUUAUGUGGUGACAUGCUAACACACAUAUAAGAACUUCAAAGUAAAGCAAGCAAGAUAUGAAAUUCAAGUCAAGACAAUAACAAGCAAGAGUCUAUAUCUAGUAUUGAAACUAGCAAAGUAAGAACAUAAAGGUGCAAGAGCUCUCGCUGUCCGUGACUCGAAUGUCUCCAAAUGGUGUUUGCGUGCAAGAAGCGGGAGAUAGGUUUAGAGCAUAAAAAUAGUAUUUAAUUGAGAACUCAAUCUACUAAAACUUUACACUUGGUCUCCUUCAGAAUCUUAUUUUGACUCAUCGCCAGACCACUAGUCAGGCACAAGUCAAAAUGAUCCUCUCCCUUUCGACUUUGAGCACUCAUACAAUGGAUGAGCGCAAUCAAGAUAUGUUGGCACUUAGGAUGGAAAAUAGAAUAAUGAUGGGGAAGGACGACAAAUAGGUGUGAAAGGCUCACAUCAAUGAGGACAACCAUAGGCGAGAGAAGGCCAAAUGAUAGAUAUGAUGUGAGGAGUAGGGAUUGCCAUGCAACGGAUGCAUGAAUGAUAAUCUCUAUGUAGUACAAAUAUAACAAUGGAGUACGAGUGUGGAUCUUUCAAAAGGAAUAGUAGUGUUGCCCCCUUCUCUCUUUUUAUUUCUUUUUCUUUUUUUCUUUUUUUGUGUGGCCUCUUUGGUGCUUUAUAUAAUUCUCUCAUUUGUCGUCUUUGGGAUCUUUUCAUUUGUCCUCUUUGGGAUCUUUUCCUCACUUAAGGGCAACACUCUAUGUUUUACAAGAAUAAAAAGAAGAUCAUCACACUUUAUAAGAAGUACUCAACAUAAAGACAAAUGAAAACUAUCAUGAUGUAUGCAAAUGUAUGCCUCUACCAGUGUAGGAGGAUAUGCAAUGAUACUAGCACGUCAUGCAGCAAUAAUAAGGACAAGGACCAACUAGCAUGCGGCUCCUCGAUCAAGCAAAAGCAUGUAUGACAUGAAGAUCAAGUCAUGAGAUGGUGGAUGUUGCAUGGCAAUGUAUCUCGGAAAGGCUAUGGAAAUGCCUUAAUAGGUAGGUAUGGUGGCUAUUUUGAGGAAAGAUAUAAUGAGGCUUAUGAUGACAGAGUUUAUCAUGUCAAGGGUUUGGAUGAACCGGCGAAGUUUGCACCAACUCUCAAGAUGAGAAAGGGAAAUGCAUGGUACCGAAGAGGCUAGGGAUGGUGGAAGUUGNNNNNNNNNNNNNNNNNNNNNNNNNNNNNNNNNNNNNNNNNNNNNNNNNNNNNNNNNNNNNNNNNNNNNNNNNNNNNNNNNNNNNNNNNNNNNNNNNNNNCUUGAAACCCAAAGUAGUAAUUUCAUCACUACUCAAAGUUUUGAUAUCCUCUACUCCGCUUUCAAUGCUUCUAGCAUCAAGGUAGAUAGACUCCGAAUCAUUGGGGCGUUUUCCAACCAAAGUGGAUUCAUAUCCAGCCCCAUCAUCAUUAGGUUUAACAUUAGAAAACAAGGAUUCAAUGGGAGUCACACCAAGCACUUUAAGAUCUUUGUGAUUCUCAUCAUGAGAACACACCUUUUCAAGCCAUUCAUGUCUAGCACGAAUUUGGGCGGUUCUUUCUUUACUCUCAUUCAUGAAACACGCAUAGCUUUGAAAGUUUCAUCCAUAUUAAUCUUGGGAGGAGCACAUCUCAAUUUCAAAGCAUCAAUAUCAAGAGACAUUAUAUCAACGGUCCUAGCCAAGUCAUCAAUUUUGAGCAGUUUUUCUUCUAUGGACGCAUUGAAAAUCUUUUGCGAGUUGAUAAUCUCUUUAAUAUUACUCUCAAGAUCAUAGGUUAAUUUAUUGUAAUUUCCAUGAGCAUUGUUGUAGGAAUUGCCAAAGUUAUUAGAAGGAUUACUAGGAAAAGGCCUAGGAAUAAAGUUACCUCUAUAAGCAUUGUUGUUGCCAAAAUCAUUCCUACCAACAAAAUUAACAUCCAAGCUCUCAUUGCUAUUCUCAAUCAAGGAAGACAAAGGUAUAUCAUUUGGAUCUAGACGAGCACCUUUACUAGCAAACAAUUUCAUUAACUCAUCCAUCUUAGAACUCAAAGAGUUAAUUUCUUCUAUAUCACGCAUUUUUUUACUAGUAGGUGACCUUUCAGUGUGCCAUUGAGAAUAGUUUGUCAUGAUAUUGUCUAGGAGUUUUGUGGCUUCUCCUAAUGUGAUUUCCAUGAAGGUUCCACCGGAGGCGGAAUCCAAGAUAUUUCUAGAAGCAAAAUUCAAACCAGCAUAGAAGAUUUUUAUAAUCAUCCAAAGACUCAAGCCAUGAGCGGGACAAUUUCUAAUCAUCAAUUUCAUCCUCUCCCAAGAUUGUGCAACAUGUUUAUGAUCUAGUUGCUUAAAAUUCAUGAUAUCAUUAUGGAGAGAGAUAAUCUUAGCCGGUGGAAAAUACUUGGAUAUAUAAGCAUCUUUACACUUGUUCCAAGAAUCAAUGCUAUUUUUGGGUAAAGAUGAAAACCAAAUUUUUGCUCGAUCUCGUAAUGAGAACGGAAAUAACUUCAAUUUAAUCACAUAAUUAUCCACAUCUUUCUUCUUUAGUGGCAGGAGCAAUCGGAGUACUAAUAAAAUCAUUAUUAUUAGUAUUCGAGAAGUCACACAAUUUGGUGUUUUCAGUCAUGGUGACUUCAGCAAGCAGACAAGCACACAAGCGAACAGAAAGCAAGCGAAAGAAAAGGCGAACGAAAAAGGCAAAUAUUUUUGUAUUUUUUUUUCAGAAGUGGGGGAGAGGAAAACGAGAGGCAAAAGGCAAAAAAGUAAAUGCAAGAGAUGAGUUUGUGAUAGUUACUUGGAUGAGCUUCACUUAGAAUAAUCCCCGGUGCCAGAAAUUGACAUGUUGAAGGGAGACUAUUCUUGACUUGAUACUCCCCGGCAACGGCGCCAGAAGUUCUUCUUGCUACCUCUUGAGCUUGCGUUGGUUUUUUCCCUUGAAGAGGAAAGGUUAUGCAUCACAGUAGCAGUAAGUAUUUCCCUCAGUUUGAGAACCAAGGUAUCAAUCCAGUAGGAGUAUCAAGACAAGUCACCAAUGUACCUGCGCAAAAACAAACAAACUUGCACCCAACGCUAUAAAGGGGUUGUCAAUCCCUUCACGAUUAAUUGCAAGGUGAGAUCUGAAGGUGGAAAGUGCAACAAAGUAAAAGUGUAGAGCUGAAAUUAUGAUGUGAACUAGACCCGGGGGCCAUAGUGUUCACUAGAGGCUUCUCUCAUGAUAGCAAGUAUUACGGUGGGUGAACGAAUUACUGUCGAGCAAUUGAUAGAACCGCGCAAAGUCAUGACAAUAUCUAAGGCAAUGAUCAUACAUAUAGGCAUCACGUCUGAGACAAGUAGACCGAUACUGUCUGCAUCUACUACUAUUACUCCACACAUCAACCGCUAUCCAGCAUGCAUCUAGUGUAUUGAGUUCAUAACGAACAGAGUAACGCCUUAAGCAAGAUGACAUGAUGUAGAGGGAUAAAUUCAUGCAAUAGUUAUAAACCCCAUAUUUUUACCCUUGAUGGCAACAACAUGAUGUGUGCCUCGCUACCCCUUCUGUCAAUGGGUGAGGACACCGCACGGUAUGAACCCAAAACCAAGCACUUCUCCCAUUGCAAGAAUUAUAGAUCAAGUUGGCCAAACGAAACCCACAACUCGAAGAGAAUUACAAGGAUACGAAAUCAUGCAUAUAAGAGAUGAGAGGAAACUCAAAUAAUAUUCAUAGAUAAUCUGAUCAUAAAUCCACAAUUCAUCGGAUCUCGACAAACACACCGCAACAGAAGGUUACACCGGAUAGAUCUCCAUGAAGAUCAUGGAGAACUUUGUAUUGAAGAUCCAAGAGAGAGAAGAAGCCAUCUAGCUACUAGCUAUGGACCCGAAGGUCUGCGGUGAACUACUCACGCAUCAUUGGAGAGGCAAUGGUGUUGAUGAAGAAGCCCUCCAUGUCUGAAUCCCCCCUCGGCAGGGCACCAGAACGUGCCCCAGAUGGGAUCUUGCGGAGAGAGAAGCUUGCGGCUGCAGGAAAAGUAUUUUCGUGGCUCUCUCUGGCAGUUUUGGAUUUUUAGGGAAUUUAUAGGCGGAAGAAGUAGGGCAAAGGAGCCAUGGGGGGCCCACAAGCCUGGUAGGCGCCCCCCAGGCCAUGGCUAGGGGGCUUGUCGCCUCCCCUAGAAUCCUUUGCCUUGGUUCUCAAGUUCCUUGCGUAUCUUGUGUUACGGAAAAAAUCUUUCCGAAGGUUUUAUUCCGUUUGGGUUCCGUUUAAUAUUCUUCUGUGAAAAGGGUCAAAACCAUGGAAAAAACAGGAACUGGCACUUGGCACUGAGUUAAUAGGUUAGUCCCAAAAAAGAUAUAAGAUAGCAUAAUCAUGCAAACAAAACAUCCAAAGUUGACAAGAUAAUAGCAUGGAACCAUAAACAAUUAUAGAUAUGUUGGAGACGUAUCAGGGGGUUUAGGUGUGUCCACAGCCCUCCCAACCCUCCUUUAUUUAUAGGAGGAAGGGUUGAGGGGGUCGUACACCCUAAUAAACCCUAGGAGGGGGCGGCGGCGGCCCUAGGGGUGGCUUGCCUCCCAAGUUGGACCACUACAAGGAAUAUGCUAAUACACGACGCUAUUUUUUCGUCGCUACAUCAUCACGGUUUUUAAUUUACGACGAUCUCACGACGAAAAACCAAGCGUCGAAAACGGAGCGUCACAAAUGGACAACAGCGAUGUUUUGAUCAAAAUCGUCGUAACCUUUACGACAAUUCCUGGAUUGUCGUAACCUUUACGACGAUCCUAAAUCGUCGUUGGCAAUCAAACCCAGUCCUACGUGGCAGUCCUAGGUGGCAAAAUUACGACGAAAUCAAAACGUCAUGGUUGAAAUCAGCCCAACCCAUUUCAAUUGAUCACAUGGGCUGGUUUUUUUGGGGGCUUUUUCUUAUUGGGCCUUAGCCUAUUUACAGCCACUUUAGUAAUCAUUUUUGGGCCCUAGCCUUUUAGUGUCCAAAUACAUUUGAUCCAAUUUCAGUUUUGGCCUUUUUUUCAUUUUUAAAUUCAGCAACUUUUUUUAUUUUAUGUUGUUAAUGAAUCUAUGAAUAACAGCCCAGUCAUGUGAAUUUUCAGAAAACAUUUUGACAGCAUAAUGCGUUGAAAGAAUCCAAACCAACAAGAAUGAUGCAAUGUUGUUGUUCAUUUCAAAACUGAUUCGUGCACUCCAAGUGCAAGUGAGUCAAUACAUUCACUAGAUUAAACUUUCCAUGUCACCAUCCUACCACAACAUUUCCACAACACCCCAAACUAAAAAAAUUACUCGCUCAUGGAUGAAUUUAACAGCCACUACUACUCGCUGCUGGCCCUUCCUUGCUUGUCUUGUCAUUCUUCCACAACGCAGGCAUCGACUCGCCAAGACAGGCCUUCCUUCCUUCCGUGCAUUGAAUACAAAAGGAGCUCAGAUAUAGCACCCAGUAGAACGCCAAGCCAUCAUCAGACACUUCACACCAUACGUCUUUAUCAAACACUUCACACCAUACGACACCCAGUCGUCCAACUACAACCAAGUGGCACUACAAGCUCCAUCCAUCGGGUCUUCUCGCCUUUGCAAUAUCAAACUUUCUGAUGACCUGGGCAGGGAGACACACACACACAUAGAGAUAACAAGAUUAACCGGUGGCCUCAAGAACCCAUAAAGGACAAACAAGCCAUAGAGCCAAAGCAACAUAAAUUUGUAGAACAACAAAAAGAACAAUAUGUGUUGCAUGUAUUUUAUACCAGGAAAAGGAACAACAGCCUAAAAGCCUACAUAUGCACUACAUUGGCUGAUAGCCGCACAACAAAAAAAUUAUCAAGCUGCAACUAUGAUACUCUCUUGGUUGCAACUAGCCUGGCCAGUGUCGGAUCACGUUGGGACAGUGUCUAACCAUUUUGUUACUUUGUGCAAGUGGCACUACAGAAAAAAUAUAUUAUAAGUUGGGGUGUAUCUAAAUGUAAGCCAGUCCUCAUACUUGUAAGCCCGGUAUGAAAGGAAGAAACCACAUUAAACAAAGUGACCUACUUGAUUUUCUUAUAGGUUGCUUGCAUGGAAUUUUCGUGUGAAAAAUCACAGCGAAAUACAUAUGCACGAAUCUCGUCAUUGUGUGUAACCGUGAACCUUUUUUUAAUUACAAUAAAGGGGCCGUAUGCAUCGUGCUGAUGCAGAGGCCGGAGGUAACCCUCUUUUUCUAAAAAAAAACUACAUUCAGAUCAACAUGCAUGCAUGCACGGUGAAAUGCAAAUAUAAACUCAGGUAUUUGUUCUGCUGAAGAAUCGAGCAAGACAAGUUCUCCAACAAAAAAACAAGUUCAACUAAGAGUGUCGUGGGUAUAAGCCUGACAGUAGAUGUGUAGGGUACGAAAGGAUGGGCAGAGCCUUAGCUACGACGAGGUUGUAUGAGUUCAGGCCCCUCUGCGGUGGAGGUAAUAGCCCUACGUCUCAGUGCUCUGGGAGNNNNNNNNNNNNNNNNNNNNNNNNNNNNNNNNNNNNNNNNNNNNNNNNNNNNNNNNNNNNNNNNNNNNNNNNNNNNNNNNNNNNNNNNNNNNNNNNNNNNNNNNNNNNNNNNNNNNNNNNNNNNNNNNNNNNNNNNNNNNNNNNNNNNNNNNNNNNNNNNNNNNNNNNNNNNNNNNNNNNNNNNNNNNNNNNNNNNNNNNNNNNNNNNNNNNNNNNNNNNNNNNNNNNNNNNNNNNNNNNNNNNNNNNNNNNNNNNNNNNNNNNNNNNNNNNNNNNNNNNNNNNNNNNNNNNNNNNNNNNNNNNNNNNNNNNNNNNNNNNNNNNNNNNNNNNNNNNNNNNNNNNNNNNNNNNNNNNNNNNNNNNNNNNNNNNNNNNNNNNNNNNNNNNNNNNNNNNNNNNNNNNNNNNNNNNNNNNNNGCCUACGUUACAGGUAACAUAAGUCUUAAAUGCUAAUAAAGGCACGGGGAAACGUAUGACCGUUUCCCUCCAGGGGGUUACGAGGCUCAGAGUGGAGUCCAGACGGUUAGUUUGAUACGCUCCGAAUGCUAGUCUCCGACUAGAUGGUCGAAGACCUGUUACCGACUGGAUGAUGGGAACUCCUUAGUUCAGUCGGAACUGACUAAGGGACUUGUCCCUUAUGAGAGGUAGUCCUUGGGUAGGACCUACAGGGCAGGCCUAUGACCCUACCAUAGGACUAUAACCCCAUCAUUAGUCCCCGAAUGGAUUGGGAUUGGAACGACGAAGCGAUGCUUGAAGUUUGGAUCCGACUGAUACGGAUGUGACUUUGGCGUUGCCUGCCUCAAUCCAUUUUAUCUUUUCUGACCAACGAUCCGAGUGGAAGUAUUUGUGAAACAAACUGUCGGAAACCGAGUGCUUCCGUGGCAUCUUCUGACGUGACCAGUCAACUGACAGCGGCGGAUUUUCCGGGAUCCUCAAAUUUCGGUUACCGCACGCUCAGCGGGGAUGACGACAUCGCGCUCGAGUAGCGCCUGACGCCUCGAUUCCCGCGCCUUCAUCUUCUCCACUGAUAUCGCCGCGGUCGGUCGGUGGAUAAGAUUUCGGGGCCACUUGCCAGUGACCCAGUCGGAACCUUACUUAAAUCCCAGCGGCGAGGGUUUUUUCGUUACGCUUGUCGGACAUCUCGCCUUUGCUCCGCUUCCUUCGCCAUCCUCUGCGCAUCCUAAGCUUCUUCCUUCUCCUUCUCCCUCGCGAAUCCGUAGCUUCCGCCAUGACAAAGGGGCAGACUAGCAAGCUAGAGGCGCGGAAGAAGAGGGGGAAGGUGGCGGCUCCUGCGCGGAAGCAGCGAACGCUACCGGCGGGGUGGAUCCAGGGGGACUUCCUCCCCUCCACUGUGAUGGAAGAGGACCUGCUGGAGCUGGUGGAGCACGGGCUGAUCGUGCACAAGUCGUGGAGGCUGUCGGCGGAGGGUGAGACCGAGCCGGCGCCCCGGGAGGGGGAGCGCGUCCUGCUGCUCAGCCACAUGCAUUGAGGUUUCUCCUUGCCCCCGCAUCCUUUCUUCAAAGGCAUAAUGAAUCACUUCGGGGCCCAGCUCCACCACUUUCCCCCGAAUGCCAUAGCCCAUCUCUCUGCUUUCGUAGUCUUGUGCGAGUGCUUCAUCGGUUGUCCUCCCCAUUGGGGGCUUUUCAAACAUAUCUUCUCUGCUAGAUCCCAAACUAUCAAACGACUUAAUCAGUCGGAUGAUAAGACUCACCUUCUCUAGCUCUGCGGAGGCUUAGGCUUCCAAAAGAAGAGCAAAGGUAGUUAUCCUGCUCUUCAGCUGAGUGAAUCGGUUAGGAACUGGCAGUCGACAUGGUUCUACUGCCAGGACAUUGCCAGCCCGAAUGCCACGACAGGGUUGCCCCCUUUUAGCUUAGAUCGACCAGCUCCGCCUAAGCAGCUCGCGCUCACGAAGGCGGAGAAGGUCGAAAUCUAGCCUCUGGUCGACGCACUCGUAGAUGUCGUCAGGAAGGGAGUCACCGGUACAGACUUGGUCGAGGUUUUCCUCGGUCGGCGCAUCCAACCACUUCAGGCCCGACACCACGCCAUGUGGCACUACACGGGGCCCGAAGACUCCACUCGGACCAACGUCGUGUGCGUGACCGGGGAGAUGGUGGCGUCGUGGGUGCUCCAGAUCACAGGUGCCUGUGAGAACCCCAGAGGGUCCCGGCGAGUGAGGGCUUUCUGCGCGGACAAUCCUCCUUCGAACCAGGUGAGUACAACUUGUCGAGUGCACAUAACUGUCUUAGUUUUAUCUCUUUCUUGAAUCUCUGUCUGGCGUCUGAUGUCGUCGACUGUAUUUUAUGCAGGUGGACCAACUGGUUCUCCCCUGUCUCGAACGGGAACCCGGCCGGGGAGGAGGAAGAGGACAGCCAGGAGGGCAGCGUGGAGAGUGUCGAGUACGUCUCCGACGGUGGGGAGAUGGAGGAGGAGUCUGGUGAGGAGGAGGAGGAAGACGAAGAGCAGGACUCGCCACCCUCGUCGCCAGAGCAUCGAACCAAGCGCCGACAUGAACCUGCAGCUCCCUCAGCCCCUCCAGCAUCCUCAAGUGCUCCGCCAACUGCUCCUACGGUUCCGAGUGCCCCGUCAACUGUCCCCAGGGUUCCGAGUGCUCGGAGCACCAAGAGGACCAGGGACGCUGCUGCUGAGCCUGCGGGUCAGCCUUCCAAGGUGGCCAAACCAAGCGGAUCUAAACCUCGGAAGGCUUUGCCGCGGAUGAGGGUCGCCGUUCCCGUCACCUCAACGUAAGUGCCUUGUUCUUCUAACUUCUUCUGAUAUUCGAUUGGACUCCUGUUUAUUGUUCGAAUGAAUUUCACUCGACAGAGUUUCUACCUCUGCCACCUCUCCGGCACGCCAGGGGGAUGAUCCCAUGGACGUGGACAAUGUCGUCUCGUCCCAGCCAGGUGCGUCGUAGCGAUUCCGAGAGUUUACAUUAUCGCAUCACGAAUUCUGUCUUCGGUCUUGCCCUUUUUCUUUCUGUGGUCUCACGCCAUUCGGUCGGGUUUCUCUCAGGGGCGAUUUAUGUGGAUGAGGGUGACCAGGGAAGGUCUGAGCAAGCUGCGGUGCCUGUCCUUGAGGCUGUUCCGCCAGUUACUGUUCUCACCGCGGACAUGCCGCCGACUGAGGCGAUGUCGUUGACUGAAACGGCGCUGGUUGCUGCCGAAUCGACUGGAGCGGGCCUUUGGAUGCCUAAGGAGCCUCCAAUGAUGCCAGGCCCGUAGAACGUCGAGUACAACGUCCAGCGCCUCCUAGAAGACCAGGUGGGAGCGGCCAAGGGGGCCAUGGUACAGGCGGAGCUAAUGGCGGGAGAAGCCAAGAAGGCGUACGACUCCAUCGCGUCCCUGUACCAGCGAAGCUUGGAACUGCGGGACGAUAUUCGAGUAAGUGGGCUAGUAAGUAUUUACUUUUCUCUUGUAACCCACUGGGUGUGCUCGGAUAUCGUAUGAUUUUUGCAAUGGGUUCACUCUUAGUGAACCCAGUGGGUGUAGUCCCCGAGACUUCUGUCGAGUGCUUGCACCGGCAGUUGUCUUUAUACACACUGUCUGUGACUUGAUCAGAUCACAAAUUAAUCUGUUGGAAUGUUAACAGUUGGUGCACUCGGAGUGCACCUAUUGGAUGAGUCUCCGAGAGUAAUUUUACUCAGGUCGGGUAGUAGUAGCCUCAUAGGCUUAGGUGUUAUCAUGUAUCUCAAUAGGGCGGACCUGUUUGAGUUUCAUGCCAGUGGAGUCACUCUCAGUGAACCCACUGGGUGUAGUCCCCGAGACCGCUGUUGACUGCUUGCGUCGUCAGGGGUCUGAAGAACUUAGACUUUUUAUUGUUGGAUUUGUCUGAUCGUCUCCUGGCGCUGGCUGGCAGAAAACUUGCGAGAUGGGGACGGCGUACGAGACUCUCAGGGCUGAAAAGGUUCAGUUUGCCGGUGAGCUAGAUGCGGCACUGGUUGCAAUGGCUGGUAUGAAGGAUGUUCUGGCGGAACGAGAGAAGUCCUUGGAGCAGGCCCGUGAAGCAAAAAAGGCAUUGACUGCUGAAGUGGAGAAAAUGAAGGCGCAUAGGUCCGAGCUGAUGGGGCAAAUGAAUGUGCUGAACAAGCGGUGUAUAGCACAGGAAAAUACGUCAGUGACUCGGCCCGGCAGAUGAUAACGCGUCUGGGUGGUAAGUCUUGUUUUUUCGAGUGCUUGUGGUAUGUGCAUUUCACUCGGCGCUUAUUGUUUGCUCGUCCUGUGUUUGUAGAUUUUUGCAUAGAUGUUGAGGCUGAAGCAGCUGACGUGGAGCGGUCGAUUCGUGAGAACAUUCCACUCGGCGAGGACGCCAAUCGAGAUCUGCUCCGAGCGCACAUUCGCGUGGGCAAAGUUGGGCCUUUCAUCGGUCGACUGAGAGAAGUCGUCGGCCGGAUCGACAAGGAGCUUUGGCCUGAGGACAAGUCUCGGCAUGAGAUGGAAGGCUUGAUGACUCGGCUGGAGGAGUGCAGUCAUGGAAGAAGUAUGCGUCUCGCUGUGGUGCGGACGUUGCUUUGUCUCUUGUCCGAGUGCAUUGCAAGGAGGUGCGCGAAGAGAAGCUGAAAGCGUUGCAGGUCGCCAACACGAAGAAACUUCGGUUCGAAGACUUCAUGGAAACCUUCCUUGAGAGCGCCACCCGCAUCGCCGACGGGAUCGAUCUGGACACAUUCGUAGAGCCCGCCAGUCCUAGCGCCAGUCCGGACGACGCUUAAGAAAACUUUUUACCUCGGUAUGCCGAGUGUUGGUUGUAAGAAACUUUGGCCACUGCUGUUGGCCGUCACAUUCUUGGCUCGGUGCGGGUAAGCUUGAUCCACACCGAGCCAACUAUCUUUAGGCGAACUUUGAAUUUGAAUCAAAUCUUUUGCUCUUCUGUUGCCAAAGAGUUGUUGAUACGAUUUUGGCUCGAGUUUUUGUUUGGCAUUUCUUGGUGAAGCCAAUGGCAAACAUGCGGAGCAUGUAAUUGUCAGUUGUCUUGACAUCUGCAUGAGCCUCCCUGAGGGUCUGCUGAUUCUCCGAGUGGAUCUGUAGGAUACACUCGAAGGCAAUAGAGUACUUAGGCGAUUCAUGAUCGCGGCUAAGUCUUCGAGUGCGAAUGUGAGGGCGCACUCGGAUUGAUUUGUUACUCAUGUAAUUGUCAGUGGUCUUGACAUCCACAUGAGCCUCAAUGAGGGUCUGCUACUCAUGUAAUUGUCAGUGGUCUUGACAUCCACAUGAGCCUCAAUGAGGGUCUACUGAGUCCCCGAGUGUAUCUGUAGGAUACAGUCGCAGGAAGCUUUCUCAUUGAAGCGAUUCUUUAUCGCAGUGAAGUCUUCGAGUGUGACGAGUAGUGCACGCUCGGAGAAAAUUUGUACUGAGGCGAUUCUUGAUCACAGCUCAGUCUCCGAGUGCGACGUUUAGUGAACACUCGGAGAAAGUUAUUACUUAGGCGAUUCUUGAUCGCAGCUAAGUCUCCGAGUGCGACGUGAAGUGCACACUCGGAGGAAGUCAGUACUUAGGCGAUUCUGGAUCGCAGCUAAGUUUUUUUUUUGAGACCGGAGUCUGCGACCGCGGAAGAAUUUUGAAUCUGCAAAAGCUCAAUCUGCUUUAUAUUAUUUUACCAAUAGUUGUUCUUUACAUUGCUUCAGUCGACGGUCACGUGUAGAAGCGCUUCAGUAGAUCUCCGUUCCAUGCUCGCGGUUCGUCUGUCUCCCUAUCGAUGUUGUAGAGUCUGUAUGCUCUGUUGUACAGCACCUUGGAGAUGAUGAAGGGUCCUUCCCAGGCAGGAGCCAACUUGUGAGGUCUUUGCCGAUCCACUCGGAGCACCAGGUCGCCUGCUUGGAAUGUGCGACUCCUGGCGUGUUGUGCGUGAAAACGCCGCAGAUCUUGUUGAUAAAUGGUUGAGCGAGUUAGUGCCAUCUCGCGCUCCUCCUCUAGAAGGUCCACUCCGUCUUGUCUUGCUUGUUCUGCUUCAGCUUCAGAGAAGAGUUCGACUCGUGGAGCAUUGUGAAGCAAGUCACUCGGAAGGACUGCUUGUGCUCCGUAAACGAGGAAGAACGGUGAUCACCCUGUAGAUCUGUUCGGGGUUGUGUGAAGACCCCAAAGAACUGAAGGUAGCUCGGUGACCCAUGCGCCAGCGGCAUGUCCCACCUCUCGCAGGAGUCGGGGCUUCAAACCUUGCAGAAUAAGUCCAUUCGCCCGCUCUGCUUGUCCGUUUGAUUGAGGAUGCACCACGGAUGCAAAAUCCACUCGGAUACCUUGGCUUGCACAGAAACCUUUGAAUCUGUCCGAGUCAAAGUUUGUCCCGUUGUCCGUGAUUAUGCUGUGAGGUACACCGAAUCUGGAGAUGAUGUCCCUGACAAACUUGAUGGUUGUUAGGGCGUCGAGCUUCUUGAUGGGCUCGGCUUCAAUCCAUUUUGUGAACUUGUCGACUGCCACCAACAGAUGUGUGUAUCCUCCUUGGCCUGUCCUGAAUGGACCGACUGUAUCUAAUCCCCAUACUGCAAACGGCCACACAAGAGGGAUUGUCUUCAACGCAGAUGUUGGCUUGUGGGACUUGUUGGAGUAGAACUAACAGCCUUCACAUUGGUCGACCAUAUCUUUAGCCAUUUCGUUUGCGUGCAGCCAGAAGAAACCAGCUCUGAAUGCUUUGGCGACGAUUGCUCUCGAAGAGGCGUGAUGACCGCAGGUUCCCGAGUGAAUUCUUCCAGGAUUAACUGUCCCUCCUCUGGGGAGAUGCAUCGUUGAAGAACGCAUGAAACGCUUUCCUCGUACAACUGGCCAUCAAUGACAGUGAACGACUUCGACCUGCGGACUAUCUGCCUGGCCUGGACUUCGUCUUCUGGUAAUUCCUGCCUCAGGAUAUAUGCAAUGAUCGGCACAGUCCAAUCGGGGAUGACAGCAAGAAUCUCCAUGAUCAGAUCAACAACAGUAGGUACAUCGACUUCAGUUGGAUCUGUCAAACUCUUUGGUUGUAUUGGUUCCUCUGUGAAAGGAUCUUCUUUGACUGAGGGAAGGUGGAGGUGCUCGAGGCAGACGUCACUCGGGACUGGUCUCCGAGUGGAUCCGAGUUUUGCCAACUCAUCAGCUGCUUGGUUCUUCAGUCGCGGAACAUGGUGGAGUUCUAGACCUUCAAACUUCUUCUCGAGCUUCCUCACUGCAUUGCAGUAUGUGGUCAUGGUGGGGUUCCUGACGUCCCACUCUUUCAUCACUUGAUUAACCACCAAAUCCGAAUCGCCAUAGACCAUCAGGCGACGGACGCCGAGUGCGAUGGCCAUGCACAGUCCAUAAAGGAGAGCUUCAUACUCUGCCUCAUUGUUGGAGGAAUCAAAGUGUAUCUGCAGCACAUAUUUGAGUUUGUCGCCCUUUGGCGAUACGAUCACAACGCCAGCGCCGGAGCCAUUCAACAUCUUGGACCCAUCGAAGAACAUUGUCCAAUGAGCCGAGUAGAUGUGGGUCGGUUGCUGUUGUUCUACCCAUUCUGCUAUGAAGUCAGCCAGGGCUUGAGACUUUAUAGCUUUCUUGGCUUCGAACUUGAUAUCGCAGUACAACAUCUCCAUUGCCCACUUCGCCACUCGGCCCGACGCGUCGCGAUUGUGGAGGAUUCCCGCCAACGGAGCAUCAGAAACGACAAACACCGAGUGGUCUUGGAAAUAAUGGGCCACCUUCUUCGCAAUCAUGUAAAUCCCGUAGAUAAGUUUUUGAUAGUGGGGAUACCUCUGCUUGGAAGGAGUCAGGACUUCGGAGACGUAAUACACUGGCUGCUGAACUUUGUAUGCUUUGCCUUCUUCUUCUCGUUCGACUGUAAGAACAGUGCUGACGACUUGAUUUGUAGCCGCGAUAUACAGAAGAAGGGGCUCUUUACUGAGCGGAGCAGUAAGAACCGGCUGGGUGGAAAGUAGGACUUUGAGGUCGUCGAAUGCGACUUGGGCUUCAUCUUUCCACUCGAAAGUAUCUGAUUUCUUCAUGAGUCGGUACAGAGGAAGUGCUUUCUCGCCGAGUCGACUGAUAAACCUGCUCAAACCGCUAGGCAACCUGUGAGUCGUUGAACAUCGUGUAUUCUGACCGGCCUCUCCAUGCGGACGAUGGUCCCGAUCUUUUCGGGGUUGACAUCGAUCCCUCGUUCGGAAACGAAGAAACCGAGUAACUUUCCGCUGGGAACGCCGAAUGAACACUUGGCGGGGUUGAGCUUGAUAUCGUACCUACGAAGGUUGGCGAAUGUUUCUGCCAAGUCGGUCAGCAGGUUGGAACCUUUGCGUGACUUGACUACGAUAUCAUCCAUAUAAGCCUCCAGAUUCCGACCGAUCUGGUCGAGGAGGCAUUUUUGGAUCAUGCGCAUAAAGGUAGCUCAUGCAUUCUUCAAACCGAAUGGCAUAGUGAUGUAGCAGAAGCACCCGAAUGGGGUGAUGAAGGCUGUUUUUAAUUCAUCGGGGCCAUACAGACGGAUCUGAUGAUAGCCCGAGUAGGCAUCAAGAAAUGACAAACGCUCGCAACCCGCAGUCGAAUCGACAAUUUGAUCGAUGCGGGGGAGCGGAAAAUGGUCUUUCGGGCAGACCUUAUUGAGAUGCUUGAAGUCGAUGCACAUUCUGAACGACUUGUCCUUCUUGGGCACCAUGACAACAUUGGCGAGCCACUCGGAGUGGUGAACCUCGCGAAUGAAGUUGGCUGCCAAAAGCUUGGCCACCUCUUCUGUGAUUCCCUUCCUCUUGUGCGCGGCGGACCGACGCAGGCGUUCUCGGACAGGCCGAGCGGUGGGAUCCACAUGCAGUCCGUGCUCAGCCAACUCCCUGGGUACACCUGGCAUGCCAGAGGGUUUCCAUGCAAAGAUGUCCCAGUUCUCACGGAGGAAUUGGGUGAGCUCGGCUUCCUAUUUAGGAUCGAGGGUGGUGGAGAUGUUCGUCGGGGCAGCAGUGUCGUCCGUCGGGUGGAUGCUGACCUUUUUCGUCUCUCCCGCCGACUGGAAUGCAGACUCCGGAGCUGGCUUCUUCGAAUGCAUCAAGUCAGCGGGGUCGACUGUUUUCUUGUACUCGUCAAGCUCGAGGACGGCCAUCUGCUGGUCGGCGAUUCUUGAUCCCUGCUGCAAACACUCUUCGGCCCGCUGUCGAUUGCCUGUGAUAGUGAUCACACCUUUCGGGCCUGGCAUCUUCAGCUUCAGGUAUACGUAACAUGGACGGGCCAUGAAACGCGCAUACGCCGGGCGGCCCAGAAUUGUGUGGUAAGCGCUCUGGAAGUCCACCACCUCGAACGUCAGCUUUUCCUUGCGGAAGUUCUUGUUGGAGCCGAAAACGACGUCCAACGCGAUCUGGCCGAGUGACUUGGCCUUCCAUCCAGGGACGACUCCAUGGAACUGCAUGCUUCUCUCACUGAGUUUGGACAUCGGAAUGCCCAUCCCCUUGAGAGUGUCGGCGUACAUGAUGUUCAAGCCACUGACACCGUCCAUGAGGACUUUGCGCAGUCAAACUCCUUCCACCACCGGGUCGACGACCAGAGCCUGUCUCCCUGGGGUGGGUACGUGUGCCGGAUGAUCCGACUGGUCAAAGGUGAUCGCAGUCUGAGACCAUUUGAGGAACUUGGGUUGGUAGGGGUGGCCAUGUUCACCUCCCUGUUCACCAGCUUCAGUCGACUCUUGCUCUCAACGUCAGCAAAAGUCAUCAGUGUUGCAUGGACUUGGGGGAACGGACCCUCCUUAUCCUCCUCGUCCUGUUCAUUGUCCUUUUCACUCGGUUGCCCUUCGCCGAACCCCUGGAUCAGGAGGCGACACUGUCGAGUGGUAUGCUUCGGAUAUAUGGGGUUGCCCUCUUCAUCCAUCUUCGUAUGAAUCGGACACGGCUGGUCCAGGAUGGGAUUAUUGAACUGCUUCUUCUUGGGGGUGAACUGAGCCUUCCCUUUGCCCUUGAACUUGGCGUUGCUUACAGCUGCAGCCUCUGCCUGCGGAGUGGACGGAGCUUUCUGCUUCUGCUUCCGAGUGUUGCUCCCAUCUCCAUCGGCGACUGUUUUGUGCUUGCCGCUUCGGAUGCGGUCCUCUUCUUCGCCAUUUGCAUAGCGUGCCGCUAUCUCCAUCAUCUUGCUCAUGGAGAUGUCGCCUGUUCGGCCAAACUUCAGGUACAGAUCCCUGUACCGCACGCCUACCUUGAAAGUGCAGAUUGCUUGAUGCUCUGUGACGUUCUCCACCGUGUGGUAGAGGGUUGUCCAACGCUGAAUGAAAUCACGCAGGGGCUCAUUCUCCUUCUGGACGCAAUGCUGGAGCUCCACGAGGCCAGCAGGGCGCUUGCACGUCCCUUCGAAGGUCCUGAUGAACACUCGGGCCAGGUCUGCCUAGCUGUAGAUGCUUGAGGGGGCCAACUGGUUCAGCCACGCUCGCGCCGAGCCGUCGAGCAUCAGAGGGAGGUGCUUCAUGGCGACAUGGUCGUCCCCUCCUCCGAUCUGGACUGCCACUCGGUAAUCAUCCAGCCACGUUUCUGGCUUGGACUCUCCUGUAAACUUGCUGAUUCCCGUUGCCAGUCGGAAGUUGGGAGGGAUGUCAGCCGAACGGAUGGCUCGACUGAAACACUCGGGACCAGAAACGAUGGUCCUGCUUCCACUCGGACGGUCAAUAUCGUAACCAUCGCGGUGGGCUCGGCCCCUGUCGACCCUCCGCUGGGCGAUAUGCCCUCUUGCGUCGGGUCUUGGGUCGUAAGUGUCACCGACUGAACGCCGAUCAUCAUGAUGUCGGGGCCCGUACGGCCCACCCCGCGGAGGGGUGCGUGAACGGCGACGAUCUUCGGGGUUUAUGGAACGGCUGUCUCCCCUGUGUCGCCGAUGAGAACCAGGGCUGUGAACUGACCGAUGCGUAUUCGCAUGAACAGAACUAUUGUGGAUCCUGUUGUGCGACUGAGAGACCGCCGAAUUUUGCUGUUGCGUCGUGUGCAACAGGGCACGGAUUUGCUCGAUCCCCCUGCCAGCCUCUGAAUCAGUCGGCUGAAGGGAAUUGGCAAUCUUGGCAGCCGCAGCCAAGUUGAGGAUGGGUGUGCGGAACGACUCCACAUUGCUCCGCCGAGUGUGCCGGCUGGCAGAACGGCGAGGCGGACGACGCGCGCCGGAUGUUUCGCCGAUCUCGUGCUCGUUCCGGCCAGCUUGACGGGGAUCUUCAUGGGAGUUGGCCAUGUGUACUUCUGCUGCAGGCCCGCGACCCGCGUACUCGGAAGGAAACUCAGUCGGAACCGAGUCCGAGCGCUGGGACGGAGGGGCAACCACAACCGACUCUAGGACCGCCACUUGUGAAGACGCGUUCUGGCGUGCCUGGGCGUGUCGCACCCAACGCUGGAGCCGCGGACGGCGGGACCGCUUGUUGCGGCGCGUGACGGCGGUGUAGGUCGACACCGGAGCCGACUGUUGGAGAAGAAGAAGAACGCCGCAGGCGCCGGCACGGAAGUGCGUAGCCCCGUGGCGGGAAAGCGCCUCGAUAUCGAGAGGAGCAUCCCGAAGCCAUGCUGAAUCGUCGAUGAUGAAGGAGAGAGCGCCGAAGAGGAUCUCGUGACCCAUGCUCGAAUCUCCACCGGACGACAUGACGAAACGAUGUAGUCGCAAACUCGCCGGAAGUCGCGUAGACGCCUGCCCCACGGUGGGCGCCAACUGUCGUGGGUAUAAGCCUGACAGUAUAUGUGUAGGGUACGAAAGGAUGGGCAGAGCCUUAGCUACGGCGAGGUUGUAUGAGUUCAGGCCCCUCUGCGGUGGAGGUAAUAGCCCUAUGUCUCAGUGCUCUGGGAGCUUGUUGUCGAGUGGAAUAUAGAAUACAGUGAAUUGCUAACCCCUGCACCAGUGGGGGAGGGUGGCUUAUAUAGAGUGCGCUGCCCUCCACAACGGUUCGGUGCACAGGGGUGGAGUAGUGGCGAAUAAAUGCCUACGUUACAGGUAACGUACGUCUUAAAUGCUAAUAAAGGCACGGGGAAACGUAUGACCGUUUCCCUCCAGGGGGGUUACGAUGCUCGGAGUGGAGUCCAGUCGGUUAGUUUGAUACGCUCCGAAUGCUAGUCUCCGACUGGAUGGUCGAAGACCUGUUACCGACUGGAUGAUGGCAACUCCUUAGUUCAGUCGGAACUGACUAAGGGCCUUGUCCCUUAUGAGGGGUAGUCCUUGGGUAGGACCUAUAGGGCAGGCCUAUGACCCUACCCUAGGACUAUAACCCCAUCAAAGAGAAAGUAAGGUACAGUGCUUUGGCAUUCUCUCUGUUCACAACGCUGAUCCCUCGAUCGUCUGAUCGAACGGGCUCAUAAACAUACAAUUAGUCUCCACUGAAUAUCCUGGUUUCAUGUUGUAUCGACGUGCUUGAUUAGGAACCUUAAUUAUUAGGCUAGACUAGUGCUACGUGUAUUUCUUAGUCAGUCAGUGACCUGAUUAAUCUAAACAUUUGGUGCAUGCAUAUGGUUGGCCAAAACCUAGGACUCUGAACGUCAGAGUACACACUACACGACUAGGACAUGUGGUUUACUUAGUAGACCAGUACUGCAUGCAUCAUUAUCUUUUGCUGUUUAAUUUGGCAGAAAUCACAGAAGCUUAUUUCAAUGGCGCAUGCAAAAAUCCAACGAAACGAUUGAAAACUUGAGUUGCGAGCUGAACGCUCAAUAAUAGAACGAUUUUCCUAUACGCUGCAACUAGCUUGGCUUAUUUCUAAAAAACAUUAUGUUCAUAUUCAGCCCCCAUUGAAAAUUGCCACUGUCCUAUAUUGUUGUCCAUGUAUUACAAUAUAACCGAUUAUUAGCUCAGAGUAGGCAGACCAAAUGGUUAUUAGCUCGAGGCACAAGCAAUCAUUCAGUAUGACAACCUAUCACAUGGUGUCAUCAUACUCUUGGCCGAUGACAAGAAGCAGGUCGAGGACCAGGACCAUCUUACCUUAAAGGAGCAGAGCAGGUCGAGAACGAAGAGGAGCAUCGACACUCUUCGUCGCUGAGGCUAAGCAAGCCCUUUCAUCUCUCCUCCUCGAGAAGGACAAGGCUACCAUAGUCGUUAUAAUACAUGGCUGCAAAGAAGAAGCAGAGUCAAAAUAAAAUGUUAUGACAAAUGAUAAAGAGGUAUUAAUUAAGUACAAACAAUAAAAACUCACAUGUCACAACAAUCAUACUACAAUCACACCUCAAAACUCACAAUAUUGUGAGUGGCCUAUUCUUCCCAGAUCCUGGCUUGUUUGCUGCAAGCACCUCUCCACCAACAUAUAACAACAGAGUUAAUAAAACUAUGUGUGAAGGAAUAAAGUCAAACAUUUUGAACGGAAGGUGUCAAGCAACUGCGGAUGCAUUAGUUACCUCGCGCAUUUUCUGCACUUCAUCAGGAAUACUGCAGUUUGCGGCAGAUUUGUCGAACAUUUCAAGUAUCCUGAAGGCUCGAUUCCUCGCAUCGUUCAUAUCUGAAGCAGACAAUAUCUCCUUGACAAUUAGCUCCGCCCAUUCAGUGUUGUUGGUUGGAGCAUUCAUCACCGGAACAUCACAUGCCACUGCGAUUAACAAUCAUUCUAGUGUUAGACAAUAUGCACACUGUAAGAUUCUUGUUUUGAGAAACUGCAUAUUGUAAGAUUAGUGUUGGUCUACAUAAGUUAUACAUCUUCGGACAUCAUUAUCAGAUAACAAGAGGAACAAGUAGUCAGGCUUAUUUUUCAGUCAUGCCAGCCAUACCUCCAGACGAGGAGGUACCAGCAUUGGUCGUUGCUGAAUCCGAUGCCAAAUAACCCUUGAAGCUUCUGAUGGCAGCAUCCAAGACAUUUCCCGACGCUUCGAGAUAGCCUCACAGAAGCUAAAAAUGCCCCCAAAAUUACUCAUCAGAAUGGUACGGAGCAAUACGGUACACAAGGAUCAGGGCCCUCAAGUCUACUGUUGUGACAUAACAUAAACCAAAGCUAUAUCAGGAUUUCAGAAAACCAUGGUAGAACUUCUGUGCACAAGAGAAACGGAUGUACGUACAUGCUAUUUGUUCUGACAUGUUUAGUUGAGACAUUUUAUUUCUGAAAUCCUAAAUUUAGCCAUCAUACACGCAUAGACAGGAAUCAUCCUCAUGGGAAGCGUUUGGCUCGCGCAAGAGGGGAAUAGUUGUGGACGAUUCUUCUGAACUUUUGAUUUACAAUUCCAUUAAUCUCUAAACUCUAGUCUAGUCUAAUUCAAGAAAUGGGAUAUGAAUCGGCAAAAGAAAAGAAAAAGGAAAUUCCCUGAUUUGUUGAAUUGUAAACCUUUUCAGCGAGUGAUGAUGAUAAACAAAACCAUUUUGCUGAAUCGUAAAAACAGGCAGUGAUGCUUAUCAGGUUGGUAACUUCCCACUGAUGAUGAUAAUAAGAUGGUAACAGUAAUUAGACACUGCAUCACAGCACAAACGAGGAAUCUUACUACCACAUAUCACAGGCUAAUUAUAAGAAACUAGCACAUCUCUACACCUUCAGAUCAAAAACUAGGAAUAGCCCCCCUAUCACCACGGAUGGCACAAAGGUGUGUCCCUGAAGAGGCCGACGAGGCAGGCCCCGGCGCCCUCCUGUAGCACGAAGACGGCAGAGCUCUGAAUAAUGCGGUUUUCACAGCAAAGUUGUGCAUUAAUUAAAGAGAAUAGAAUCAUAUAACCUUGGAACAAUAAGAAACGCAACGGCGGCAGUUGAGUUGAUGUUUGCUAGGUAUACUUCAGGAGUCAUCACUCAUCAACCAUAUCAUGGAGGGCUGAUUUGAAUGGUUAGUAGAGUAGUUUAGUCAAAACAAAAUUUCUGGAUGCACUCUCAUUAGAAAUGCAACAACCAAGUUACUCAACAAAAAGGAAUGAAUACUAAACUUCUGAUAAUUUCGACAAAUGCAAUGGUUCAGAAUAAGAGUAAGACAUACUGUGGGGCUCUAUGUCAAGAAGCCAGUGACCUACAGAUUUCAGAAACUUCCAUUGUUGCACUACCUAGCAAACAUCACGGAGGCAAGCCUACUAAUCAUGAGGUGGACCAAACUGAAAACUGAAAAUCCUAUCAAGUGCAUGGAUCACGCUAAGAAACUGUUGGUAGAUUUUUCAGAUUUACAAACACGUAGCUAAACAAGGGUAACAUCAUGGAGCACAAAAUUAAGAUCAGAUAUCAAACUUUCACAUGACUGAUGGUAACAAGACGGUAAUAAGGUCUCCCACACCAAACAUCCUUGAUAAACAGGAACAUCAACAAGCCCCAAACUGAAACUACUUCCAAAAGAAAUACCCAUCUAAUUCAGAUUCCUUAAAGGGAGGAACACCAGAACAUCAGUCGAUUUAGAGACGGCUCAGCUUAGAUCAUAUGUAGCACAAUAAUAUAUAUCUAAAAAAAGCGAGCAACCACAUUUUGUUUUCGUUCUAGAUUCAUUAGUACAGCCAACUACACCACAUAGCACGUAGCACUGUAGGAACCACAAGUCUGACCAAACUGAAUAUGAAUAGAAGGGCAUGGCAGGCAGCAGAUAAAUCUGAAACCACAUGUGUGCAUGAUAAAGUAAAAGACUGAUGAAAAGGAUUGCAUGCAUGAUUAACUAAACCACAAGUCACUGCAGGUCGUUGGCCCGGCAUGAGGUUCGGCGUUCGACUUUCCUGACAGAGAGCUGCUAUUGUACCCAUGGACAUGGAAUACUCCUCGUGCUGCUAAAUAACAAGAAGGUCUCAUCGCGUCCUGAAGCAGCACAUCACAACGAGUGUGGGGGAGGAAGGUCCAUGGCAUCCUCCUCCGAGGGCGACCUUGAUCUGUUGGAUUUGGGAGGGAGAGGAGAGGUGAGGAAGAACCUACUACAGAGAGAGGGGGAGGGAGGGAUGAUGGUGGUCAUACGAGAUCAGGUGUCAUCAUGUAUGGGCUCCUCCUAUGCUGCGUGCAAGGUCGACAUGGCACCGGGCUUGUCCUCCAUGGCGUCCUCCUUGACCACACGGGACAGGAUGCAAACAAGCAAACAAACAAAAAUGCACAAAACAAUCAGAUUUGAUCCAAAGUAGAAGCAAUCGAGGAGGACGAGCAAGGGAUGAUCCAUAACAGAUCGAUUCUGGUCGCCAUGGCUGGGAUCCUCCUACGCUUGUGCGGGCUAGGGUUUCAGUAUGUGCUGCUGGAAAGAAGGAUAGGGUGGGUCUUGGGGAGAGCAGGUCGGCACCGAUGCCGUGGCCGGCGGGAGGGAUGGGGGAGAGGAGAUCUACGACAGGGUUGGGUUGGGUUGCGGGAGGGGUGGGGGAGAGGAGAUCGGCGGCGGGGUUGGGUUGGGUUGCGGGAGGGAGGUGGAAGACACACAGGAGAGAGACUCGAGUUGGUAGGAGAGGGAGGAGGGUGUGUCAUGCGCUAGGUUUAUCGAGGAGAGGUGAUGAGACGUUGGAUCUGUAGGACAUGGACGGCUCAGAUCGCCUUUACUAGGGUGAUCUGUGGGCUCUAUUCUGAUUGGUUAGACAUGUGCCUUUAUAAACUUGUUUUUUAAGUGUUAAAAACAGAGGAGAUAUAUGAAGCAACUAUCAAAAACAUUUUGCAAAACGGCACCAUUAAUUUUUAGGUGCAUCUUGGAAUGGAAAACAAUGUUGCCUAAGAACGUUUUCAUUUUCAUUGGACGAAAAAGUCAUUUUCCAAUUUUUGACUGUCCAGAAUAAGUUUUUUUGUGAAGGGCCUAUCAUAUAUUUGUUGCAAAAUUGGAUCAAAUCAUUUUUAUAAAAUACUAGGUCAUAUUUAAUGCACAAUUGACCAAAUGAUUGGGUGUCAAAAGCUUUUAUCCACCUCUCGUGAAAAAGACAAAUUUCCGCCGAUUUAACUUGAAGCGAGUCAAAUUUGAACCGCAACUGUCUUAUAGUUUACUCUUUAUUUUUUCCAAAAAUAUUCUCUAGGUACAAAAGUAUCUAUUUAAUCAGAUAAACACCAAAAAAAUUCCAAGAUUCAACCACUAGAUAGGAACGGUCAUACCCGCUGUUUUGACCGUAUUUUGAAACACGCAUGAAAAAUUCAAAACCAAAUCAAAAAAUUGAAAAACCUUCGCAUUGUGCCAUUAAAUAUAACCAAGUUAUGAGGAAAAAUAAUAAACUUGUAAUACGAUAAUUAUUUAAAAAAAUGUUCUGAGAAAUGAGCUAUCAUGUGUGAAGACCACAAACCAGCCCAUUAGCAAGCAUGGAGGAUAAAAUACCAACCCAAUAUAAAAGUAAGAUGAAAAAAUAGCCCAACAGAAAGUGGUAUAAAAAACAGUUCAAUACAUGGAUGAGGUGGGAUAGAAUGAACCCACGAGUGACAUAUCAACAUAGUUAAAACAUGUAACGACAUUUUUAUAAUCGUCAUAAAAGUUAUGAUGAUCUCAUCUUAUGCGGUUACGACGUUUUUGACUCACAUCGUUGUAAUUUGUAUGUAGAUUUGAUCCCCUCAAAAGGUUUACGGCGAUCUCGGAUGAAAUCGUCAUAGAUAUAUGACGAAUUCAUCAACGACAUCUUAAAAAACGUCAUGUAUGAGCAUAUUUCUUGUAGAGGGAGGCAGCCCCACGCCUUAGGGUUUUAGCCCUAGGCGCAUUGGGCCCUUUUGGUGGCUCGCACCAGCCAACGAAGGAGCUGGUUCCCUCCCACUUUCGUCCCAUGUGGUCCUCCCGGGACAGGUGGACCCUCCGGUGGACCCCUGGUACCCUUUCGGUGGUCCCGGUACAAUACCGAUAAACCUCGAAACCUUUCCGGUGACCAAAACUGGACUUCUCAUAUAUAAAUCUUUACCUCUGGACUAUUUUGGAACUCCUCGUGACGUCCGGGAUCUCAUACGGGACUCCAAAAAACUUUUCGUAACCACAUAUACAAUUCCCAUUACAACUCUAGCGCCACCGAACCUUAAGUGUGUAGACCCUAUGGGUUCGGGGUUUGUGAAGUUGGUACUCAACAUGUAACCCCUAUUCCCUAUGUUAGGUUGUUUGUUAGGCCAUUAGGUAAAGUGUCGGAUCAAUUUCCCCAUUGCUCACUCAUACGUCUCCAACGUAUCUAUAAUUUUUGAUGGUUUCAUGUUAUUAUAUUGUCAAACUUUGGAUGUUUUGCGUGCCUUUUAUUUAUUUUUUGGGACUAACUUAUUAACUCAGCGCCAAGUGCCAAUUCCUGCUUUUUUCCAUGUUUUUCACCCCUUUCAGAGGAGAUUUUGAAACGGAAGAAAAUCCCCGAAAAGAUUUUUUUUGGAACGGAAGAAGAUUAGAGAACUUGGGAGGCAAGGCAGGGGAGCCCCAGGGGCCCCACAAGCCCCCACCCCGCGGCCAGGGGUGGUGCGCCAUCCAGGCUUGUGGGCCCCCUGGAGGACUAUAUAAUCCCAAAAAUUCCAGAAAAAAUCAGGAGAUCAUCGAAAGUACUUUUCCGCCGCCGCAAGCUUCUGUCUCCGCAGGAUCCCAUCUGGGGCGCGUUCUGGUGCCCUGCCGGAGGGGGGAUUCGGACACGGAGGGCUUCUUCAUCAACACCAUGACAUCUCCGAUGAUGCGUGAGUAGUUCACCAUAGACCUACGGGUCCAUAGCUAGUAACUAGAUGGCUUCUUCUCUCUCUUGGAUCUUCAAUACAAAGUUCUCCAUGAUCUUCAUGGAGAUCUAUCCGAUGUAAUCUUAUUUUGCGGUGUGUUUGUCGAGAUCCGAUGAAUUGUGGAUUUAUGAUCAGAUUAUCUAUGAAUCUUAUUUGAGUUUCUUCUGAUCUCUCUUAUGCAUGAUUUCAUAUCCUUGUAAUUCUCUUCGAGUUGCGGGUUUUGUCUGGCCAACUAGAUCUAUGAUUCUUGCAAUGGGAGAAGUGCUUGGUUUUGGGUUCAUACCGUGCGGUGACCUCACCCAGUGAUAGAAGGGGUAGCGAGGCACGUAUCGUGUUGUUGCCAUCAAGGGUAAAAAGAUGGGGUUUUCAUCAUUGGUUUGAGAUUAUCCCUCUACAUCAUGUCAUCUUGCUUAANNNNNNNNNNNNNNNUCUCCGAUGAUGCGUGAGUAGUUCACCAUAGACCUACGGGUCCAUAGCUAGUAACUAGAUGGCUUCUUCUCUCUCUUGGAUCUUCAAUACAAAGUUCUCCAUGAUCUUCAUGGAGAUCUAUCCGAUGUAAUCUUCUUUUGCGGUGUGUUUGUUGAGAUCCGAUGAAUUGUGGAUUUAUGAUCAUAUUAUCUAUGAAUCUUAUUUGAGUUUCUUCUGAUCUCUCUUAUGCAUGAUUUCAUAUCCUUGUAAUUCUCUUCGAGUUGUGGGUUUUGUCUGGCCAACUAGAUCUAUGAUUCUUGCAAUGGGAGAAGUGCUUGGUUUUGGGUUCAUACCAUGUGGUGACCUCACCCAGUAACAGAAGGGGUAGCGAGGCANNNNNNNNNNNNNNNNNNNNNNNNNNNNNNNNNNNNNNNNNNNNNNNNNNNNNNNNNNNNNNNNNNNNNNNNNNNNNNNNNNNNNNNNNNNNNNNNNNNNNNNNNNNNNNNNNNNNNNNNNNNNNNNNNNNNNNNNNNNNNNNNNNNNNNNNNNNNNNNNNNNNNNNNNNNNNNNNNNNNNNNNNNNNNNNNNNNNNNNNNNNNNNNNNNNNNCUUACACUUUUUACUUCGUUGCACUUUCCGCCUUCAGAUCUCACUUUGCAAACAAUCUUGAAGGGAUUGACAACCCCUUUGAAGCGUUGGGUGCAAGCUUGUUUGUGUUUGCGCAGGUACUUUGGACUUGACGAGGCCCUCCUUCUGGUUCGAUACCUUGGUUCUCAAACUGAGGGAAAUACUUACUGCUCCUGUGCUGCAUCACCCUUUCCUCUUCAAGGGAAAAACCGACGCAAACCAGAGAAGUAACAAGAAGAAUUCCUACGCGCCAGGGAAGGACUUUUGUUGCCGCAGCAGAAGAAUUUCUGGCUCCGUUGCCGGGGAGGAAGGUCAAGUCAAGGACUCAUCCAAGUAGGUGUCGCAAACUCAUCUCUUGCAUUUACUUUGUUUGCCAGUUGCCUCUCAUUUUCCUCUCCCCCACUUCACCAAAUUGCCUUUUUCGUUUGCCUUUCCUUUCCUUGUGUGCUAUGUUCCUUCAAAAUGCUUGCAUCUUUGCUUGCUAAGAAUCUAGUGAUAUGGAUGCUCAUCCACUUGCUAAUCUUUUCAAGAGGUCCAACUAUGUUGAACAAAUUGCUAGUGAGUUUUGUGCACUAGAUUAUCUUUAUGGAGUUUUGCUUGACAUGCGUGAAUCUGAAAAUUGUGAUGAGGAAAUUUAUGAAGUGAUUCACGAGGGCUCCUUGGAUGAAAAGCAUGAUUACAAUGGUUUCACUAUAAAUUCUAUUAGUGACAAUCAUGCUAAAAAUAUGCAAAACCCUAAGCUUGGGGAUGCUAGUUUUGCUAUGUCCUCUAUUGGUUGCAAUGAUCAUGAUUGGGGUGAUGAUCUUUCUUAUGAUCUUGAAAAUUUGUUUAAGCCUCUUGAUGAAUAUGAUGUUUGCAAUAUUAUUGAAAGUGGGUUUGGAGACGUCAUGACUUUAGUUGAUGAUAAUCCCACUAUUUUUGAAGAGCGUCAACUUUGCAUGCAUGUGGAUCAUGAAAAGAAUAUCCUACAUGAUAGUUACAUUGUUGAAUUUGAUUAUGAUCCCACAUGUGUUUGCUAUGAGAGAGGAAAAUAUUUUGCUAGAAACUUUCAUGUUACCAAAUUACCUCUCGUUAUGUUGAGAUUGCUAUUGUCUCUUUCUUCUUCCUUGCAUUUGGUAACUAUUGGUUGUCUUGCCAAUUUGUUUUCCUAUAAAAUGCCUAUGCAUAGGAAGUAUGUUAUACUUAGAUGUGAUUUUCACAUGCUUUAUGAUGCUCUCGUUGUUCUUCAACUCUUGUCUUUUGUGUGAGCAUCAUUGAUGCCUAGCUAAGGGCGUUAAACAAUAGCGCUUGUUGGGAGGCAACCCAGUGAAUUUAUCUUUUUCUUUCUGUUUUGUUGCGUCCACACUUUCAUAAUUCUGUUGUGAUUGUGUUUUUUGUGUUUCUUUUUGUGUUUGAGCCAAGCAAAACCUUUAUGACUAGUCUCGAUAAUGGUUGUUUGAUCCUGCUGGAAAAAGACAGAAACUUUUCGCUCACGAGAUGAUUUUUCAUUUUUAUUCAGAAAUAGAUUUUGAGUUGAUUCUUUUUGCUGCGGAUAUAUAUGCUUUUUUCCCAGGCCGUCGUAAAUUUUUCAGAUUUUUUGAGGUACCAGAAGUAUAUGAAGUAUACAGAUUGCUACAGACUUGUCUGUUUUUGACAAAUUAUGUUUUUGUUGAGUUGGUUGCUUGUUUUGAUGAAACUAUGGUUAGUAUCGGGGGGUACUAGCCACGGAAAAGUGAGAAUACAGUAGCCCAUCAUCAAUAUAGAUGGAAUUCAAGUUUGCUACAGUACCAAAAGAAGUGGUAGUUUGUUUUCUUGUACUAAUGUUAUCACAAGUUUCUGUUUAAGUUUUGUGUUGUGAAGUUUUCAAGUUUUGGGUGAUGUUCUCAUGGACAAAGAGAUAAGGAGUGGAAAGAGCUCAAGCUUGGGGAUGCCCAAGUCAUCCCAAGCCAAAUUCAAGGACACCAAAAAGCCUAAGCUUGGGGAUGCCCCGGGAAGGCCUCCCCUCUUUCGUCUUCAAUCCAUCGGUAACAUUACUUGGAGCUAUAUUCUUAUUCACCACAUGAUAUGUGUUUUGCUUGGAGCGUCUUGUAUCAUAGGAGUCUUUUCUUUUUGUUGUGUCACAAUCAUCCUUGUUGCACACCUUCUUGAGAGAGAGAGACAUGCACUCAUCGUGAUCUUGCUAGAAUGCUCUAGUGCUUCACUUAUAUCUUUUGAGCUAGAUACUUUUGCUCUAGUGCUUCACUUAUAUCUCUUGAGCUAGAUACUUUUGCUCUAGUGCUUCACUUAUAUCUUUUGAGAUAGAUACUUUUGCUCUUGUGCUUCACUUAUAUCUUUAGAGCACGGCGGUGCGUGAUUUGGUAGUUGGCUUAUGCUAUGGAAGUAGUCCCAAUUGUGCUAGGUACCCAAAGAGGAUGCAAAACCCUCCAUCUUCAUGUGCAUUGGGUAGAAAGAGAAGUUUCGAUUCCUAUCAAUUAGUUUUGAGACAUGGAUUCGGUAAUAUUAAGAGUUAUGUUAGUAGGGUGUUGUGAAUCUAGAGAUACUUGUGUUCGAGUUAGUGAUUCCCGUAGCAUGCACGUAUGGUGAACCGCUAUGUUAGGAAGUCGGAGCAUAAUUGAUCUAUUGAUUGUCAUCCUUUGUGUUGAGGUCGGGAUCGCGCGAUGGUUUACACCUACCAACCCUUCCCCUCGGAGUAUGCGUUUAGCACUUUGUUUCGAUUACUAAUAAAAACUUUCGCAACAAGUAUGUGAGUUCUUCAUGACUAAUGUGAGUCCAUGGUAUAUAUGCACUUUCACCUUCCACCUUUGCUAGCCUCUCUAGUGCCGCACAAUUCUCGCCGGUGCACAAGCCCACCAAAUUCCUUCCUCAAAACAGCCACCAUAUCUACCUACUAUGGCAUUUUCAUAGCCAUUCCGAGAUAUAUUGCCAUGCAACUACCACCGUUUCGUCUCAUGACUUAUGCUGUCACUCUCAUAUUGCCAUUGCAUGAUCAUAAGAUAGCUAGCAAGAUGUUUCAACGUCAUACGCCAUGCUAGAUCGUUGCACAUCCCGGUACACUACCGGAGGCAUUUCCUAUAGAGUCAUCACCAUUUUGAGCUGUGAGUAAAUAAAGGUGUGAUGAUCAUCCUUAUUAGAGCAUUUUCCCAUGUGAGGAAAUAAAAAAAAAGAGCCCAAAGAGCCCAAAAACAAAAAAAGGGAGAAAAGAAGAGAAAAAAAAGGGAGGCCUAAGAGCCCAAAUGAAAAAAAGAGAAAAAAGAGAAAAAAGAGAGAAGGGACAAUGCUACUAUCUUUUUCCACACUUGUGCUUCAUGUUAGCACCAUGUUCUUCAUGAUUGAGAGCUUCUUGCUUUGUCACUACCAUAUGCUAGUGUGAAUCUUCAUUUUAUAACUUGGCUUGUAUGUUCCAAUGAUGGGCUUCCUCAAAAUUUCCCUAGGUCUUCGUGAGCAAGCAAGUUGGAUGCACACCCACUAGUUUUCCUUUUGAGCUUUCACAUACUUAUAGCUCUAGUGCAUCUAUUGUAUGGCAAUCCCUACUCAUUCACAUUGAUAUCUAUUAAUCGGCAUCUCCAUAGCCUAUUGAUAUGCCGAGUCAGUGUGACCAUCUCCUCCUUUUUUGUCUCACAACCACCACCACACUCUAUUCCACCUAUAGUGUUAUAUCCAUGGCUCGCGCUCAUGUAUUGCGUGAUAGUUAUAAAAAGAUUGAGAAAGUAAGAGUGCGAAAACAAUUACUUGGCCAAUUCCGAGGUUGUUCAUGAUUUACAUUAGUUGUGUGAGGAUGAUGGAGCAUAGCCAGACUAUAUGAUUUUGUAGGGAUAACUUUCUUUGGCCUUGUCAUUUUGAAAGUUCAUGAUUACUUUGCUAGUUUGCUUGAAGUAUUACUGUUUUCAUGUCAAUAACAAACUAUUGUUUUGAAUCGUACGGAUCUGAACAUUCAUGUCACGUGAAAGAAGUCGCAGAGGACAACUAUGCUAGGUAGCAUUCCACAUCAAAAAUUCAUUCUUUGUCACUUCCCUACUCGAGGACGAGCAGGAGUUAAGCUUGGGGAUGCUUGAUACGUCUCCAACGUAUCUAUAAUUUUUGAUGGUUUCAUGCUAUUAUCUUGUCAAACUUUGGAUGUUUUGCAUGCCUUUUAUUUAUUUUUUGGGACUAACUUAUUAACUAAGUGCCAAGUGCGAGUUCCAGUUUUUUCCAUGUUUUUGACCCCUUUCAGAGGAGAUUUUGAAACGGAGUCCAAACGAAGGAAAAUCCCCGAAAAGAUUUUUUUGGAAUGGAAGAAGAUCGGAGAACUUGGGAGGCAAGGCAGGGGAGCCCCAGGGGCCCCACAAGCCCCCACCCCGCGGCUAGGGGGCGCCAUCCAAGCUUGUGGGCCCCCUAGAGCUCCCCUGACCUAGGUCUUUCGCCUAUAUAAUCCCAAAAAUUCCAGAAAAAAUCAGGAGAUCAUCGAAAGUACUUUUCCGCCGCCGCAAGCUUCUGUCUCCGCAAGAUCCCAUCUGGGGCACGUUCUGGUGCCCUGUCGGAGAGGGGAUUCGGACACGGUGGGCUUCUUCAUCAACACCAUGACCUCUCCGAUGAUGCGUGAGNNNNNNNNNNNNNNNNNNNNNNNNNNNNNNNNNNNNNNNNNNNNNNNNNNNNNNNNNNNNNNNNNNNNNNNNNNNNNNNNNNNNNNNNNNNNNNNNNNNNNNNNNNNNNNNNNNNNNNNNNNNNNNNNNNNNNNNNNNNNNNNNNNNNNNNNNNNNNNNNNNNNNNNNNNNNNNNNNNNNNNNNNNNNNNNNNNNNNNNNNNNNNNNNNNNNNNNNNNNNNNNNNNNNNNNNNNNNNNNNNNNNNNNNNNNNNNNNNNNNNNNNNNNNNNNNNNNNNNNNNNNNNNNNNNNNNNNNNNNNNNNNNNNNNNNNNNNNNNNNNNNNNNNNNNAACCAGAGAAGUAACAAGUAGAAUUCCUACGCGUCAGGGAAGGACUUUUGUUGCCGCGGCACUCACCACACCAUCGAUUUUGCCUAGGUAAUUAUGAAAGAAGAGAAGAAGAUGGUAGUUUUGCCUAUGGUUCAGGCAUGGCUCAUGUUGAUCCAUAAAAGAGAUGUUCGUCCUGGUGACAAGCAUGUCAUCCGUUAUGCUCCAAUGCUAGCUCGGGAUAAGGAGAGGAUAACGAAUCUAAACCACAUCUACAACAACAAUGACACAUAGGUUGUGUGGAUGCUAAGAAUGAUAAGAGCAUCUUUCACCAGGCUUGUGCAAAUCUUUAGAUUAGGGGCUGCUAUAAUAUAGCAUCCACACUGGUGUGGAAGAGCAAGUUGCUACGUUCCUCCAUGUUAUCGAACAUAGCCGGAGGUUUAGGAUUAUCCACAACACGACCAGGAGAUCAAUGGAUACCGUUUUCACGUACUUUAGGCAAGUGACGUAUGUUGUUGGGGAACUCAGAGAAAAUAUGACCAGGUCACCAACCGACCGGACUCCUAGUAAGAUACGCACUAGCCCAAGAUGGUAUCCAUAUUUCAUGGUGAGCACCGACAGUAUGUAGUUCAUUCCUGGACAUGCUUGUAUUGUUCUACUAUAUCGAUUACACCAUCUCUUCAUGCCAUUUUAGGAUUGCAUUGGGGCAAUAGAUGGUACUCAUCUCACUACUUGAGUUCGGUGUUAUAAUCUGCAACAUACAUGAGGAGAAAGCACCACACAAGCCAGAAUGUUCUUGUUGUUGUUGACUUUGAUCUGAAGUUUACAUAAUUGCUAGAUGGAUAGGAAGGAUCCGCACAUGCUGGUAACAUUCCAGCUGACAACAUGAGUACACCUGAUGACAUAAAUAUCCCCGAUGGAAUGUUCUACCUGGAAGAUACUAGCUAUGCAUGCCAGCCAGGUGUUCUUCCAUUCAGAAAAAUCAGGUACCAUCUAAACGAGUUCGCCGGUAGAAACUAUCCUAGGUCUCCACAAGAACUAUUUUAUCUUAGACGCUAUAGCCUUAGAGUUAUGGUUGAGUGGGCAUUUGGAGCUAUGAGGAAUAUUCUUAAGAUCCUGAAUCAAAAGUCAUUCCACACUUUUCCCAAACAUGUUAAGCUUAUUCUUACUUGUAGCAUUUUGCAUAACUGAAUCGUGUAAUGGGGUUGUGAUGACCUGACGUCGGAGGAGGAAGAGGUGACGCGUGAUGAUGUUGUCAGCUCUAACCAUGGUGUGGAGGCAUUUGACGAUGAAGCCUGAAAGAACAAAAAGAUGGAGUGUGCACAAGCAAUAUGAGAUAACACAGCUAAGACGAGGAUCUGAAGAAGAAGAGGAACAACAAGAACGGAAAAGAAGAAGCGACGACAAAAGAAGAAACAACGACGACAAAAUAAGAAUAAGGCAAGGAUGGACUUCCAACUAGUUCGGCAUCGGUGAACUAUCCCUGUUGAGUCAUUUGACUGUUUAUUUGUAAUGAUAUUUUCUAAUAGUUAGAACGAACUGUGAUUCCUUUUCUAAUUAGGACUGAAACUAUGUCCGGAUCGUACAUGAUAAGGUCAUCGCUAAUGAGAAGUGAUGAUAGCGCCUUAUACAGUUUGCAACCAAACGACUUAGUUUGUGCGUCCUAUGCAACGUAGACAACCAAACUAACAAGUAAAUAUUGUUUCCCUCACGUAGCCAAUCUUGAUGCAGACAAUCAAACUAUAUGCAGAUGAUCUCUAACACAGUCCCAUCUAAGAUGUAAAGAAAGAGAAAAAUGAUACAGUCAACCAAACACGCCAUAAACCAGGGCCCUCGCUCACAUCGUCGAGGUACCGGUGCUUGGCAUGCAGAUCCGACCUCGUACGAAUCGCAACACCCCGCUUGACCUGUUGGCUGCGCGCUGCUUGAGGUAAGGCCCUCGGGACGGGAGGGAGGGAGGAGGGGCCCAAAGCCUCUCGUCUCGUCUCGCACCACAAAAAGGAUCGCGUGUCUCGUACACCGUGGUUUUUAAUCACUCCCCUCCUUCCUUCUUUCCUGGAGCUGGAGCUCUUUACUCCACUCUCACUACUCACUCGUCACACGCCACUCGAUCCCAUUCCAUUCAGCGCACAAGCCCAGCAGCAGCAGCGGCAAUGACGCCGCGCGCGUCGUGAGACAGACCUACAUACAGGCGGUGUUGGCGCUCGCUGGCGGUGGGGGGGCGAUUAACCGGGCCAGUCUGCGCGCGGGCCAUGGCGGGCGGCCCGGCGAUGGCUCCUGCGGCGGCGUGGUGGCCAGGCGCGGGGGCGGGGGCGCAGGAGCACGAGGAGAUGCGGUGGCGGCAGCUGGAUGGCGGCGUCAGCGCGGUCUCCUUCGGCUUCGUCGCCACGGCCAUGCUCGUCUCCAUGUUCCUCGCCAUGGCCGUGCUCGAGCACUUCCUCCGCGCCCCGCCCAUGGGCCCGCCGGAGCCCUCGCCAUCGCCGCCCCGAGGCGGGGUCCUCCUCCGCCUCCUCCGCCGCCGCGGCGCCGGAGGCAGACCCCCCGGCGCGGAUCUCGAGGCGGCAGGGAAGCUCGACGCCGGACGCGCGUCCCCCGAGGUACCACUACGACGGCACUGCUCCCCCCGCACGCCCCGCCGCCGCCCCCAUUCCCCAUCCGCUCCCGCCUCCCCCCCGCUUUUCAUGAUUCCGUCGUCUCGCCCUUUUUUUACCCUUUCCGCGUCGCUUUUACUGCUCACCGUGCGUGUGGCUGUCUGUGUGCACUUGAGAGUUGAGGCCGACCCAGAUUGCGCAUCAUUUCGUUCCUCCACCACACUCGACUCCGCCAUGAUGCAUCGGCCAUGGCUAGGGCCAGGACCUAGGAGGGAAGCAUCAGAGGAGGAUGCCCAUUGCCCAAGCAGGGACCAAGAGAUUCCUGCCUCGAUUUUUAUGGUGGCUCAAGAAAGUAUCUUAAUAACAUACACAUCAAAGGAGCACAUUUUGAUCUGCAGCGCCGAACCAGAUCUUGCUGAUGUGGUUCAUCACUUGAUCACAGCUCAUCUUCGUCAGUAGUUCAUAGUAGCAGCGUAUCCAUCCAUUAUAGUCGAAGUGAUGUUAAGUUCGUCCAAACUCUGAAACAACUCAUUAAUUAGCUUGGUCGAGAUGUGUCCUACUGCUAGUACCUCAACCCCACAGGUCUCUGUUAAGCCACAACUCAUUUAAUUAGCCUGGUCGGGAUGCCCCACUGCUUCAACCCCACAGGUCUCUGUUAAGCCGUUAGCCACAUCGAUUUCUCCUGUCAUAUUAGCCCUACACAAGUACCAGCUGCAGCUGCUGUCUCAGCAGUUAAUCAUUCAUCAUUAUUUAGAUCGCUUUAUGCUAAGUGGCCACAUGGUGUUUUUUCAGGAAAAUGAGUUAAGAGUAGAUUGAUCACAGGGGUGGAUCUUCCUGAUGCAAUCGAUUUCUAUCCUUCUGUACUCUCUCUUGUGGAUAAGUUCAGUUGGCACCUUCAUAUGGCUUGUAGCAACAUUCUUGUCCAUUUUGUAUGGUGUGAUAUGUAGUGGUAGAAGACAAGGGGAGUUGCUAUUUAAGAUCAUGGGUUGUGGAAUUGAGAGGGGGGUUUGGCAGACAGUGUGGAACAGACAAGGCCCACCCCUGUCUGCACCUAACAACAAGGUCUAAAUCACAUUCUAGCUUCCAAUAUUUGUUCUCCAUCCAAAACUCAGACAGCCACAGCCUGCAGGCCCCAGAUGAUGUGGUCAUCAUUUGUUUGCUCGCUGUCAAAUGUGGAACCUCCUGUUACUAAGAUGGACCAGCAUCACAAUUUACUUUGAGCUUGUACUGUGCCCCAUCAUGGAAAUCAAGAAAGUCAGUUAAUUAAACACGGGAGGAGCGUUGAAGUACGGAGUAUAAAUGGUGCCCUUGUCUAAGAACUUGACUUAACCCUUAGAAACUUGAUGCUAGACUUCACACAAAAAUAAGGGGUUGUCUCUUGCUCGCUAGCUGGGCCGUACCAUGAGCUGCUCGCAGCCAUGCUCACAGGGUUCGCCUCAGUGGUGCAUGACUACGCGCAGCUCCUUUCCGUCGCUCCUGCUGGUCGGCAUACCCAGCAUACCCUUAGUUGUGCCGCCUGUUUGUUGUUCGCCGAGAGAUUGAGGGAGGCGUUAGGGGCUUAAUGAAUGAGCAUGCAAGGAGGAGUAUUUUUAUUAACUACUAGUAUAUUAUAAGUUUGAAAUAUUGAUUGGAGGAGUAUUUUUAGUAACUGUAGUAUAUUAUAAGUUUGAAAUAUUGAUUGGAGGAGUAUUUUUAGUAACUAGUAUGUUGGAAGGUAUUGUAAAAGGGAAUGAGGUUGAUUGAGCGCCGUCAAAAUAUGAAAUUCAGUAUUUUUCUGUAGUCUUUCUGAAAUCUGCCAAAUCACCUUUCUGCUAUGAUAUAGAAAAACAAAAUGAUAUAUCACCUGUUACCGACCCUGUCUAGCCAUCUAACGUGCCAAGUAUAAGCCACCACAUAUAAAAUUCAGUAUUUUUCUGUAGUCUUUCUGAAAUCUGCCAAAUCACCUUUCUGCUUCUUCCAUGUUUUCAUAGUGUGUUUGUCAAUAACAGCAUCGGGUAUUGAGCUUUGUUCCCAUUGUCUGCAAUGAACGUUAUCAUCCAGCUAUUAUGUUAUAUUUCAUUUCUCGAUGACAGGUCAUUCAUGGCCGUUACUGAAUCUAGACCAUCAGUCCCAGCUUCCAUCCAAGUUCAGAUAAAUUUCUGAUCAGUUCUUGGGUAGUAGGGGCUCCAGUUCCACCCAAUUCCAGGUUAUCAUUAUUCAGGUUGCAUACCAUAGUGGAUGUUGAUCCUGGCUCUAGGACCUGCUCGAGAUGACCCUGGAACCAAGUAGCAAAGGUGUCUUGAUGGCAGAUUGGCAGCCACACCUCAGGGGGAGGAGGAGAAAAAUGGAAAAAUAUAGUAUAGUACUCCCUCCGAUCGAAAUUAAUUGAUGCAGCUCUAGUGCAACUUUGUACUGAAGUUGUACUAAAGCUGCCUCAAUUAAUUUGGAUCAGAGGGAGUACUACGUUUUUUUCUGCUUAAUCCAACCAAAAGAAGUGCCAAUCCUUAUAUCGGAGGUGCUUGCCCCUAACACAAGUAACUAAUCUUACCUUUCCUAACUUAUACAAAUAUAAAGAAAACAAACUUUGGGGAGAUGAACCUUUGUAGCUGCGGUGCAAAUGAAAUUCCCUUUAUUUUAUUUUCCAGAUUUAAUUGUAGUCAGAUACACACUCUAAAGCAAUAGCAGUAUGCUAGAACAGGCAUCUGGUAGACGUAGCAUCGAUAACUCAUCUUAUGCACAGUUGUUCCACCAUCUAUGGACCUAUUUACCCGAAUAUUGACAUACCAUACAUCCAAUGAUUUUUCAUCAUCUGUUUCAGUUUUGCAGUUGGGUUGGGUUAAUUUGAUUCGAUUGGUUCUUGGGGAUGUUAUGGCAUCUUGUUUUUUGUGUUGAUAUUCAUUCUGCUUCCCUUCUCACAAUCAUAUGAAAAUAAAAAAUACAACUGAUUAUGAAAGCAAAACAUCCCUCCUAUUUCUGACUACAUACACAUUCUUACUGAUUACUUGGCUUAUAUGUGGCUUUGCAGAUGCCUGUCUAUUCCAAAGGGGUAUCCGUCCUGAUGCCGGGACAGGACGUGCCGACGUUCAUCGCGCAUCCCGCGCCUACGCCCUGCCCCCCGGAGAGGGUCCGAUGGCCAUCGCACCAGCCCGCUCCGUUCGCCGGUUCCUCAUCAAAUCCAAGCUAGCGCGUGGCUGCCGGACCGAGCACCGAGCACCCUUCUGUCUGUCUCACCAUCCAAGGGAAGGGGUAAAAUGCCGGCGGAAUGGCGGCGGUCCACAGGAGCACACCUCUGGUUUCUUCUGUGGCCAUGUCACCUCCGGCGCCUUGGUGGAACUGAAGAGGUUCUCUCCAUGCGUUGUACAGUUUAGAUGUCUGUUGCGGAGCAAGUUUUGGUAGCUCCUGCUGCCUGCCUGUAUUAUGGCGGGAGAAGAGCGGCUAGCCUGGUGGAUCAAUGGAAUUGUUGCCGAUCCCGCUUGCUCGGCUAGUGGUGUUUAGAUGCUUUCGUUGUCGUUGGUUAUAGAGUCGGUCGUAGAUGUGCGUCAUGGAUGGAUGUACUUGUACACGUCUUGUGUAAUUUCGUUGCAUAAAUGACUUGAGCCUAUUGGAGCUGAGCCCCCAUCAGCCUCGUAUCGUAUCAUUGCGCAGAAAAGGAAAAAAAGCCUCGUAUUUGCCAAGCUCGUGGUCACAAAUUACAUAGAGUAGUAUUUAAGUUUUUUUAAUAAACUAGCACAAAUGCCCGUGCGUUGCAACGGAAGACAUUGUUACAUGUCUUAUGACUACAGCUAUUUUUCUCUUUUCUCGUCUCAGUUUGUCAAACGUACAUGUGUUACAAUUGAAUAAAAAAAAUUCUUUAGAUUCCUACUGUUUCCGUAUAUGCUUUUUGAGGAGAAAAAAUGGCCAGCUUGAUUUAUGAAGCAAGUUAAAUACCUCAACAGGUUAUUAACACCUUUUAUUAUGCUCACCAAUGUUUCAUAUAUUUUCAUUUUAAUUACUCACUCCGUUUUUAAAUUUGUGCGCCAUAUAUUUAAAUUUGUGCGUGAAAUAACAGCCCUUAAAAGCGCCCCUCACAGUUCUGUGUUUUACUAAUGUAAAAAAUAUGCUCAAUAGAGAAAAUAACAAAAUAAGCUUAUGUGGGAUCGAAUCGAUGACUAUGGGUUAAAAGCGUUGAGCUCUAGCCAUUUGAACUACUAAUAUGCUAAUGGUAAAUUUGUAGUCCGCUGGUUAAUAACCAUAGUAAAGCGUAGCCACUUUACAAAGGAAAAACGAAACGUUUGGUUAAUUACACUUUAUUUAUUUAUUUAAUUAUUCUUAUUUGUUUUUUUUCCUUCGUAGGUUUUAUUGGUUCUUUAUUACACUUUAUUUUUUGUAUGUUUCUUAGUUUUGUUGGUUUUUCUUGUUUUUGCACUGGUAUUCCUCGGGUUAAUCACUGAAUUUUUUAUUUUUACCGGUUUUGUGUUUCUUUGUCAGUUUUUAUUUAUUUCCUUUCUUCUUAUUUAUCUUCAGUUUUUAUUUCGUACAUUUUUGGUUUUCAAUGAUUUUUUUUUCCUUAUUACUUUAUUUUUUCUCUGUUUUCACUAUUUUUUAUUAUUGCUAUGUUUAUCAUUUGAAAACAUAAUUCAAUAAACCAAGGAAGAGACAAUCAACAUAUAUAUAGAAGCAUCUCAAGAAAAAGAUAUGUCCACCAAUAAAUAAUUGAAUCUCAUUUGUGAAAUACUGACAGCAAAUGUAGAAUACUGAUAGUUGGCACUUCAUAUGACAAUGAGAAAAUAAACCACUCCUAUAAACUCUUUUGUUCUCGUUAUUAUUCACAUGCUUAGCUAAUGUUCAGGUUUUUAGGAUAAAUCAUAAAUAACCAUAACCAUGAUAACAGUCAAGCUUAUCGGGUUUAUUCCGCCUACCCUAUGAGAUAAAGGCAAAAAAAUGGAACAUGUUCUGUGGAUCUGUGCACAUCAAACUUUGCAAUGUGUGGUACAUAAAGGACAAUUUAGAAUAUACAUAUAUCCUGAUACCUAAUUGUUACUUGCUUUCUCAUCUCCCAUGUGCACUCUACAUAACAUAUGCAUACAUUACAGGCUUCAAGCGUUCAUGAAUUUCUUCAGCAAAUUUAACAUUAUCACAGAGUAAGUCAAACUUGUGACCCAGCAUGCUAAGGGAAACAAAUUCUAAUAGCAAACAGUGAAACUCCCCAAAACUGUCAGAUUGCUGAAAUAUAUCUCUAUUUCCUGUGCUGGUUAAUCUUCGGAUUCUGACUCACCCUUGCAUUCCUCGCAUAGACAGGUCAUAUCCUCCUUUAAUAUUCAAGUCUAAUAAGAGCAGGUCCUCAAUUUUCAGGGUGCAUUUGGCAUUCUUCGCCUCCUGACUUCGUACACGGUAGAGCUGAAAAUCCAAAUUAUUAUCAUGAAGAUUGUCAUCAGAUAUAGCUUUCACCGGCUGUUCAGUGCUUUCUUCAUACACAUGUGUUCCAUUGUCUGACAAGCCCGGAAGGGCUAGGUUAAAGUCUGUAAGCUGUGAUCUAGCAUUUUCUAGGCCAGCAGAUCCAUUUGCAUCAAAGGAAAUGUUUUCUUGAGCUUUCUCUAGUAUUUCCUUUAAAUAUCUCACUUGAGCCUCUAUUCGCAUCUGCAGCUUCUUCUGCACCUGAUCACAGAAAUAAGCAUUUUUUUAGGCUGAUACAAGCAUUUUUAACCUAUAUGGUACAGAAUUUGGUAGUAUAAGCAGUGAUGCACAACUUUUCUAACCUCAAGUUGUUCACACAAUUCUCUUUGGACCUGGAUUUGAUACCUGAGGGUGUCCUCAAGCGGCAUUUAUCUGAUUCAUAUAAGAAAUGUUUUGAAAAUGGUUAGUUAAAUCAUCAUACAGUCUCAACUGAUGAAAAAGGCACAUAGAAGACAUAUGACAGUAAGUAAUCAGUAGGAUUCCCUCUUUGUGACUCUAUAUAAGGAACUUUGCAUAUAUACUUAUGGAAGGGCAAAAUUAAUCACAACCAAGAAAAGCUAGUGAUUGCUACUAACUUGUACAACUACUAAAGAUCUCACUUUUCAGUUAUACAUGAGUAUCUCUAAUACCAAUGCUGGUUUAAGUUCUGUCCUGCAGGCAAAAACAAUAGUGCUUGAUUUCUAUAUAUGCCUGGUGAUCAUUGAGGAUUUAGCUCUAGCACAUGAUGCCUUAGCGCAUGGUUAGUCUCAAAUUUAAGUUGACAGCUUGAUUGCCCAACACAAAACAAAGAACCGUACUGCACUGUCGACGGCAAAAAUUAGUCGACCUUUUUCUUUAAAAUUAUGCUUUGAACAGUACUACAAAAUCAUUGGAGGGACAGGAAAACAGAGUAUGUAGUACUCAUCUAAUCCCUUAAGUGUUCAGAUUCAUAAGUAAAUCGCCUUAGUUCAGUCCAGGGAAAACUUACAAGAUAAUUCAACAUCAUUUGUCUUUUUACGUAGACACAAUUUAGUAGAUUAAUUGCCUUCAGUAUUUUGCGUCAAACAAUGUUAAGCAGUAAUAACGUAGUAGUAUAAGCAUCAUGCAACCAGAAUCAAAUGGAGAACAGAUGAGAAGGAAAUAGAAACUCACCAGUCGAGUCCAUGUCGUAAACCUUGACAUCCAUGCGUUCAACCGCUUCGCCAGAUGAUCAUACCUCCCACUUCCAAAUCGAUACACCAAACCAUCAGCUACCGGCGACAUGAUUUACUGUAAUUUUUGAGUAAGCAACAGAGAAGAAGGGGAUCAAAUUCUCAGCACGACGGCGGCCUUGGCCUUCUUCCCAGAGGAAGACGCCGAGACGGCGUCCGCGAUGGCGGCCGAGUCCACCUGGGGCGCGCGCCAUCGGAAGGGCAGGAGCAGGAGCAGGAACAGGAGCAUCGGCUGGAGCACGGUGAGGAUCCGACGCAGCGCGAGCAGCGACAGCAGCGCGCUGAUCCUGCCCGCCGCGUCCGCCGCCUGCAUGCUCCCGGCCAUCCCUCUGCUCUGCCCCUCCUCCGUUAGGUCCAGGAGCGCUGGCGAGGCUGGCGAGGUCAACGGGGUGAGGCGACGCUGGCGAUAUGGAUCCCCGAUCCAGAUCGGGUCGGCGAGGCGGCGACGCGAUGCAGGGUCCAGCGCGGGAUGAUGACUGCUCUUGUGGCCGGAUCUGGCGAAGAACGACGAUGAGCGGCGGAGGUCCAUGGCCAUGGCGGUCCUGCGGAACAGGGGAAGAGAGACCUCAGAUGAGAGAGAGGGAACGGGAGAAAGGAGAAGGAAGGCGCGGCGCGGGCUGCCAUGGUCGGGAUCCGGGCGGAGGAGCUGUCGGUGCUCCGGCGGCGGCAGAGCUCCAAUGAACGCCCACCGGAGGCGGUAUCGGGUGUGCGGCUUCGGGAGGAAGGAGAAGGAGCUCAGGGGCUGGCGGCGGCGGCGGAGGGCUUUUUUACAAAAAAACAAAACGUUUUCUUCCACUUACUAUAGGAUUGCGGGUUGAUUUCAAUAAGCCUCAGGGGCUUUUUUUGCAGAAAAACCAUGACGGACGACAGAAGUGCUGCGCGCUUUAUUAUUAGGGGAGAUACAUGGUCUACAUAUCUCUACAAUUAAAGGGGGAUCUGCCGUCGUGAUAGUUCGACCUUCCUUCCCCGUCGUACGAGUUCCCCUCCCACCUAUCGAUCCCCCGACGCGAUUGCAUCGUUAACUUCUUUUUUGUUUACCGCGACCCACCCACGAUCCCGCACGUCCUCUGUGAAUCCACCCCACAACCGCACACCCGCACGCGUCCCGGAUCCCGCCCCCGCUCCAUCGCGCCCAUGCGCCGUCACCUCUCUUGCGCCACCGCGCCCGCUCCCGGCCAUCACGCCCGUACGCCGCCACCUCUCCCGCACCACUACGCCCUAGCCCUGCUCGACACUCCCGUAUCCGCCCCCGCCGCCCCGCCCCGUCGCUCAUCCCUCGUCGUCCGCCACGUCGCUGAGCCCCCGCCGGGCCGUCCCGCCGCUCAUCCCUUACCGGCCGCCCCGUCACUCCUCCUCCGCUCGUGCCACCGUACUCGCGCCGCAUCAUCGCUUUCGUGCUCAUUCCAUGUAAUGCCCCAAGUUUAACCUUGUCAUAUUUGGAACCUUCCANNNNNNNNNNNNNNNNNNNNNNNNNNNNNNNNNNNNNNNNNNNNNNNNNNNNNNNNNNNNNNNNNNNNNNNNNNNNNNNNNNNNNNNNNNNNNNNNNNNNNNNNNNNNNNNNNNNNNNNNNNNNNNNNNNNNNNNNNNNNNNNNNNNNNNNNNNNNNNNNNNNNNNNNNNNNNNNNNNNNNNNNNNNNNNNNNNNNNNNNNNNNNNNNNNNNNNNNNNNNNNNNNNNNNNNNNNNNNNNNNNNNNNNNNNNNNNNNNNNNNNNNNNNNNNNNNNNNNNNNNNNNNNNNNNNNNNNNNNNNNNNNNNNNNNNNNNNNNNNNNNNNNNNNNNNNNNNNNNNNNNNNNNNNNNNNNNNNNNNNNNNNNNNNNNNNNNNNNNNNNNNNNNNNNNNNNNNNNNNNNNNNNNNNNNNNNNNNNNNNAAGUGGUGUGCAAAGCUUGGGUUUAACUAUGUAGUUUUUCAAACUAGAGUUCAAAGGAAGCCCCCUUCUUCCUUAUUUUCUUGAGCUCAAGAUUUACUUGCUCUGAACCUGAUUUUCAAAUGUAGAUCUAUUAGAGCAUUUUCUUGUGGAUGUGGCGAUGUGUCUAGGCCAUUUUAAAAAAGCUUUGCUUAAAUGGGGUUNUGGGUUCGAGUCCCAGAGGCGCCCUUUUGCUAUUUCCUUGUUUUUGUGGUGGAGUAUCUUGACAGGAGUUGAUACCCUGCAUGUUUCCCCUUCCCUGUCGAAGUGGAGCGGCUAGCCCAGUGGUGGGGUGUUGGUUGUGCAUCAGUUAGGUCUUGGGUUCGAUUCCAAGCACCCCCUCCCCCUUUUAAUUUUAUUUUUCCUUUUGCUGUUUUCAAGUAUGCUUGCAAUGUUCAUUGCUUGGGCAGCAAGCUAGUGCUCCCUUUUAGCUAGUGUGUGUGUAUGUGAGUAUAAACAUGUGUAUUUAUGUGUGAGGGCAAGUUCUUGCAUGGUGUGUGUGUAGUUGAAGCAUGUGUAGGUGGGUGUUGUGUGUAUGUGUGCAUGGGAGCAUAUGCACUAGUGUGUGCAUGUGUGUUUGUGUGUGGGUUACCCCCACAUAUUUGUGCAAGUGUGCACCAAGACAUGUAUGUGUGUGUGUGUGUGUGUGUGUGCAAGUGCUUGUGCAUGCACUUGUGUGUGUAGUGGUAGUGUAUGUGUGUAAUGCCCCAAGUGUAGGACUUUCCCUUCUUGUAACCUUCCAUGUGGGGCCACCUUGUCAGAGAUCUUGAUGAUAUCUUUUGUGCCAUGAAUUCAUGUGUGUUCCCUAGUGCUUACUUCCCUUGCAUGCAUGAAUUACAUAUCAUUCCUUGCCAUACUUAUGAUUGCAUGCCAUGAUCAUGUUGCAUUUGAGUUUAAUAGGAGUAGUGUUGUGGUGUUGUGAGUGCAUGUGAUCUUGCUAGGAUUAAGUGGUGGUUUUGCACUACCUUGUGAUGCAUGUGAUAAUGGUGUGUGUGAUGUAGGAGUGAGUGCUAGUCUUUUAAAGCUCUUGCCUUUUAAACUCCUUUUCCCUCCUAUUUUUAUUCUUGUCAAAAUUCCUUCUUCCCAAAGAUGAUUCUAAAAUGUCUAGUGGUUAGAUAAAAUGUGCUUAUGAGGGAGUGCAAUUUUUCUGAUUUGAAUCUUUGAUUUAAGUGGUGCAAAUAAACUCAAAACAGUAGCUUAAUUACUGUUUUGCAUUUAUUUCAAACAUCUCCAAAUAUUGCUUGUCUAUUUUUCCCUAUUGGGCCAUUAUUUCUUAGGUCUAGCGGGAUUUUCCUUUUAUUUUUUAACCCAGUAGUUAUUUUGGGUAAUAUAUUUUUCUUUCCUUCCCUGGGUGCAUUUGUUUCUCUGUUCACCUAAUUGGAUAACUUCCUGGGUAUCUAAUUCUUUCCCUGGCCCAUUAAGCCUUCUCCCGUGCUGGCCCAGUUGGACUCCACCCCUGGCGACAGAGCCCACUGGCGAGCGUUUCCUUCUUCCUCCCGACGUCACUCCUGUACGACGUGCGCUCCACCUCUCGAUCACUCUCUCCUUGAUCCAGCGGCUCGAGCUCGCCUCCCGAGACGUUAAAGAGGAGCCCGGGACCCCCUCCUCCGCCCUAGGGUUCCCUCUCCGUUUUCCCCCAGCGCCGCCAGUGUCCUCCUGCCCUCGUUCUUCCCUGGUAAGUUUCAGAGAGGAAGCAGAGAGAGAGAGAGAGUGCAACGCCUCCUUCGUCAACCCGCCGAUCCGUCGUCUCCGGCACCGGCCGCCAUGGGAGUCUCCUUCCCUGCUUCGGUCUACGUCGGAGGAGCUUCUUCGGCGUCCUCCUCCCCGUUCGGCGCCCCAUCUUCUCCCAAGGUGAGGCCGCGUCCUCCCCGUCCUUCCUCCGCCGCGGACCGGCUCGGUCCCGUCGGGCGCAUGCUUCCUCUGUUAGUAGCAGCAGCAGGUUAGAGGAGCAGUAGCGGCUGUUCUGUGCCGAGUUUGUGCGUGCGUUGUCGAGAGGAGAGGCAAGGCGUAGUGGUGUAGCAGGGUGUUGGUAGCAGUUCGACGCGUAGUAGCAGCAGCAGCAGCCGGCAGUAGGCGCUAGCAGUAGCAGCAGCAGCUAGCCGGUGCAACUUAUCAGCUGCAGCGGCAGAGCACACUGCUGCGUUCCGGGCAGCCAAAGGAGGGACCUUUUCCCGUGCUCAGGGUGGGAAUGGAUCCCCUGAGAGUCCCGCGGGCCCCGCCGAUGGUUUCCCCUGCCGGUGGUGGCCGGGAGUGGCGCCGCCAGCGUCCUCGGGUCCGGCCGCCGGCAGAGCUCAUCUCGUGAGUGGAGUGGGUUUUACUUUUUACCUUCUCGUCUUAGCCAGUCUCCGGUCCGUAGCCCGAUGGUAGUGUUGCUCUGUCUUGUGCUUGCGCCUGAUGAGAGGUCCAGGGUUCGAGUCCCCCCCUCGGCGCCCUUUUGAUAUUUUGUUUUGAUUUAUGUUGCGGGUAGAUUACCUUGCCUUUUUCCCUUCUCCUGUUAACAUCAGUAACAGCAGCGCAGUGGUAGAUGUGUGUUUGUGUUAUCGUCAGGUGCAGGGUUCGAAUCCCAUGCGUUGCACCCCCCUUUUUAUCUUGCCUGUUUCCUUUCUGAUUUGCAGUAGGGCAGCACAACAGAGUUUAACCUCUGUUUGGGUCCUUCUCUGUCGAGCCCCAUGGGCAUAGCAGAGUGGGUGGGUGCAGUAGAGAGCAUCAGCAGGUUCAGGGUUCAAAUCCUGACCCCUCUUGCUAUUGUGUUCUUUCCCUGUUGUUUUUUUUCUUCUGCUACAUUUUUUUUAAAACACCCUUCUUACUAUUGCCGAUCUUGUGCCUACCAAAGGUGGCCAUGGAAUUAUGUUUUUUUUUCCUUGCUGUUAUAGUUGUGCUAGGUGAUGUAGUGUGUGUGGUUGUGCUUGUGAGAGAUGUGCAUGUGAGUGUGUUUUCCUUGUGCUUGGAGUGGGCUCUUGCACCAUGUGGGGCUAGUAGAUUGUGAUGUGUGUGCAUUAGCUUGUGGUAGCUCUAGUAUAGAUAUGUGUGUGAGAGCCUCACCCAUGGCAAGGCAUGAAGAGCAUUGAUGUGCUCAUGAGUAGUAGUGUGUGGUGGUGUUGGAUUCAUUUAGGGAGUGUAGCUAUUGUAUGCUCUAACUAGUUCUAGUAGGACUAGAUUUGUGUCAUGCUAGAUAUGUGGGUGGUGUGGACCUCCCCACCUUUACAAGUGGUGCACCUCCUCAUGUUUAAUAUGAGAGAGGGCAUAUUGUGUGUGUGGGGUUGGCUCAUGUGUGUUGGUGUUGUUGAUGUGCAUGACACAAACAUGGGGUUCAAACCCCCAUGUCACUUUGUCAUUGUGCACAUGAAACCCUCCUAUGUAUUGUCAUCUUAGAAGAAUACCUUAUGGAUUUGCAUUUUUAUUUUGUUGAAAGUUUGGGCUUUGUUUCCAUGAUAUAGAUGGAGCCCAAAGGCAUGGAUCUUGGUGUGUUAGUUGUAGGGGUUUGCGCUCAAUACCAUAGUGGUGUCAAACACCUCUUGGGAACUUGUGUGUGCAAACUAUGCCUAGACAAAGUGGGCAUGUGGUUGGGAAAUUCCAGAUUUUUGAACUCUGAAAAUUUCACUAAGUCUGGAAUGCUGAAAACAUUUUCUUCCCCUGUAGAUAAGGUUUUUCUGGUCAUUAUGUUGAGAACUGGACUUAGUUCAGUGCUAGUCUUUUGAACCUGGGGUGUUUGUGAAGCUUCCUGUCAAUUUUCAAGUCAUUUGGAGUCCAGUAGCUUGUGUUUUGAUUGCUGUAAAAAAGCUUCAGAACAGAAACAGAAACUCAGGUGCAGGAAUUUUCACUAAGUCCCUGAGAACUGAUGGUUUUGGGAAAGUUUGUGGCCUUGUAUCUUCUAGAGUUUAAUUCCUUUUGCUGUGAUUCUUGCUGGAGCUUGUAGUGUUCUUGGUUGGAAACAGCCACAUAUAUUAUUUGUCGUAUUUGAAGACCUGUAGCUAUGUUGCAUGUGGCUCACAAACAGCUAAGAUGCAGAAACUGGCAGAUUGCGUAGUUUUGACAUUUUGUUCAAAGUUUGUGUUUAAUUGUUGUUGGGGUGUUCUACCUUGCUCCAUUUCAUUCAUGUUGGGUUAAUAUAUGUCUUGGAAACCUGGGAACACCAGAUUUGUGCCAAUUGUGUGUGUGGUGAUGAAUCUUUCACGUAGGGCUUCAUAUCGUGUUUCGUUGAUUCCCGUUGAUCCGUAGCUCCGUUUGCAAAGUUCUUUACAUGGUUUUGCACCGUUUUUACGAGCUGCAUCUGUUAAUAUCAUUCCCAGGCAUGUCCAAAUAGUUUAGUGCAAAGUUAUGUCCAGGAACUUGUUGUAGUUUAUCCUGCUUGUGCUAGUGUUAGAAAUAGUGGUGCAUGCUCAACUUUCAUCUCAUGCAUCAUGUGAUUGUUGCAUUUUGUGGUGCUGCUGUUCAUUGGCUGUUAUUUCUUGUGUUGGGUAGCACCGGGAGCGGAGAACGAAUACGUGGAGUCAGGAGAGUACGUGCAGGACGAUCCAGAACCAUUCCAAGCUGAGGAUAUCACAGGCAAGAUGACAUGACCUUGAUCCCAUAUCUAGACUUGUUAUGUUAGUUUUGAUUCCACGUCAUAUUGCUCGCUGCCUACCACUGAAAAUAUAUUGCCUCUUCAUAUGCCAUGAGCCUAAACACUUUACUCUUUCCUAGCAAACUUGCCUGGCUAGGUAGGCUUGCUCAGCUACUAAUGUUAGCAUUGUUAGUUGCAGGUGUUUAUAACUCAUGAGUUGCCAUGAGCUUGAUAUCAUUAUAUUAAAUUUCUGUUAUUUAAUUAAUGUAUCUAUAUAUUUGGUAAAUGACGGGAGGCCUAGCCUUUUGCCGGGUGUCUUGUUCCGUUAUUGCCGCCUUAGUUACCGGUUACCGGUGUUUGAUUCCAUAAUGAUCGCUCCUAACACGUUCGGGGUUGUUAUGGGGACCCCCUUGAUAAAUCGCGUAGUGUUAAGGCUUGUCCGGCAGGACCCAACUUUGGUUUUAAUCUGCUAAUCACAUAAUAAUCUGCAUAGGGAAUAGCUACCCCGAGGAAUUUACUCAACAACCCGGGCCAGUGCUCCCCAUGAGUGUUGGCCCCACCUGAGCGAUGUCCGGGGCCCCACUGGUCACCCACAGGUUUAGCCAUCCGGACGUCUAGCUCAUCUGUCGUGUCCUGAGACUGAGAUACGCGGCUCUUAUCAGGGUCGUCGACACGACGGGAGGUCCUGCUAGCCUUGUCUUGCCUUAGCGGUAUAUCUUGCGUAUAGGAAUCCCGGUGAAGCUGUGGUUUUCCCCAGAGUUGAGGUUUUCCUCUAAGGAAUCCGACGAGAUCACGAGAUUCGUGAUAGAGGAUGCCUUUGCGGCCUGUGUUCGUUUGUGAUGGACUAGUUGGAGCACCCCUGCAGGGUUUAAUCUUUCGGAAAGCCGUGCCCGCGGUUAUGUGGCAACUUGGAAUAUCUUGCUAACAUCCGGUAUUAGAAAACUUAAACAUAAACUAAUAAAAUAUGCCAACUGUGUGUGUAACCGUGACUGUCCCUUCGAAGUCCUCUCUUCGAACGGGAACACGGUGGGGUUAUGAAUGUCGUAGGUAGGGGUUCAGGAUCACUUACUGAUCAAGCAUUCUUGUUCGUUAGCGUAGACCACGUUUACUUCCUUCUCGCGUAAGUUAGCCACUUAUUCAAUCAUAGGUUGCAGCAGCCUGAAACACUUCUUACCUUCCUUACCCAUCAACAUGACUAGUUCUGGCACCAAGGUCUUAGAUUGCUGAGUCCCCGUGGCUCACGGAUUCCUCCGAAACUUCCAGCAGGUACAGGUACCCCAGAGACCGAUGGUCCCGAUGGCAUCCAGCUAGCGUGGCAGUACGACGAGGAGACAGACCGUCUUUACGUGAACUAUCCAGAGGACUGAGCCAUGGUCGUGAUCGUGGGCCCGCAGCCGGUAGCAUAGCAUUUCCCUUGUUUUGUAGUCCGUACCGGAACUACCUUGUUUGUAUCUGCGUUGUACUCUGUAUUAUUAAUAAGAAGACAGUUGAAUCCCAGAUUGUCUACUAUAUUUAUUAUUAUGUGCUAUGUUUACUUGCUUGCAAAACACUUAGAUGCGCUUCUUUCCUAUUCGGGGGCCUCGACUCCCAGAUCGGAAAGGACCGCAUCUUGGUCGUUACAAUGUGUGUGUGUGUGUGUCACACACACAUGAGCAAGUGUGUUCAUGGUGGCCUUAGUACACCAUGGGGGUUCUUUGAGCACCUAGGGAUAAGUGGGUGAGUGUCAUGUGGUAGUUUUGUGUGUGUAUGCAUGUGUGUAUGUGGUCAUGCAUGUGUGUGUGGGCAUGGGUGCAUCUAUGCACUUGUGCAUGAGGGCUAACCCCUCAUGCUUGCCACCAUGGUGUGUN